GACUUCAGUCCCGGCAUGUCCACCACGAACACGUAGGAGUUCGGGUACUCCUUGACGUCUGCCGGCGUGGAGGCCAUGGCCUUGGCGUCACGGACGUAGGUCCGGGUGGGGGCGUUGGACUUCUCGGCGUCGUCGGCGGCGUCGAUGAUGUGCUGAAGUGUGGAGAAGAGUGGGGCAUCCAAACCUUGGAUUCUGAUAUCCAUUCUUCCCUUCUUGGUGGGUGGAAUUUUCGCUUUUCGGUUUCGAUUUGAAGGCUUUCGUGAAUUUUCGAGUGGGAAUCUGGUCGCUGUUACGGAGGGGGGUGGUGGUUAUGGGCAUUUAUAGGAGAAGGAGUUGAGGGAGUUGAGGGAGGACGGGGGUUAGCGGGGAGGGAAAAGGAAUGUUCUGGAGAAACGUGAAGGGAAGGGAGGAGGUUCCAGUAGGUUCCAUUUCUUCUUUGAGAGUCUAGAACAUUCUGGAAACGUUUACCAGGGGCAGGGCCUCUUUAGCCAUUUAUGAGAUAUUUUGUUGAGAAAGAGCCAAAAAGCUAAAAUAGAUAACAGUACUAAAUUAAAAGAUAAUCCCAAGAAUGCAAAAGAGAAAAAUGUGAAGAAGAUAAUCGGGAAGAGGAUCAUCUCCUGAGCUUAGGAUGGGGAUUCUCUUAACUAGCCUAUUUAAGCAGUUCAAAUCUAAUACAACAGCUUUAAACAGGGAGAUUCUCUAAAAAUUAUAAUUGCAACCGUUGGAUUCAAUUUGAACAGUCCAGAUGGGCUAGUCAGGUGGAUCUCCAUCCUGAGCUCAGAAGAGGAUCAUCUUCUAGAUAAUUGUGCACCUAAUUUUGUUAUGUGAAGAAACAAACGAAAAUUAAUUCGAUAAAUCGAUGGCUAGAGGUAUUCUUCCUUUUUGGUUUAAUAAUCUAUGGUACUUUUUAAAUUCAAACUACAUAAAUAAAUGUUUUUUUUUUUGGUUGAACAUAGAUAAUGAGUUAAAUGACGAGUUUGGUAAACACUCCAUAAAUAAUAUAACAAUGGUCAAUCUACUAGGGUGAACACUCCAUAAAUAAUGUAACAAUGGUCAAUCUAAUGGUGUUUUUGGUGACAAAUCGAGAAUAUAAUAAAUAUGAGCCACCAAAAGACAAGUAAAUUCCUAGUAGCACCACUCUUUAAAUUAUUAUAAUAAUUUCGAAUCUUCUCAUUUUUAAUUAAUAAUAAUAUUAAAAAAAAGUAAACUCUAAAAUAAGGUUAUCGAUUGGCACACAAAUAAGUUAUUAAAAACGAAAACUAACCAAAAGGGCCUGAAAACUUUAAGUUUUAACCAAAAACCAUGUUGUAAGUUUAUUUAAUGGUUAGGAUAAAGCCCAACACUAAAUCAAUCCAAAUAAAAUGGCCCAAACAAUGAGUGUCCGAUUUUGCCCCUGACGGCAAAGCAUUUCUCCGUUUAAUCUCUCUUCCUUUAUGGGUCUCUCUGCUCUGCUGUGGUCUGUCUCCCCCCCAUUUCUUCCUGACACAUCUAAAGAGAGAAAGAGAAGUGAAGGAAGUGAAAGAACAACACAUUUGAAUCCUUUUAUUUCCAAGUUCAAUUCCAAUUCCUCCAUUUUUCAAUCGAAUCGAUCGAAUCUCUCUCCCUCUCUCUCUCGAUCUCUCCACCCAAUAUGUAUUUUUGUUUUCAAUUCAAUUUGAGUUCCACAAUUUUUCAAAUCAAUCGAAUCGAUCGAAUCGGAUAAGCACGGGCGACCUUCUCAGCAUCGAUUCUCUGGAGCUCGAGUUCCCCUGUCAGUAUAACACGUUACCUUUCUCUUUCGAUCUGGUUUUUGUUUUCAAAAAUUUGCAUGUUGCUGUUUCAUUCCUGUUUUCAAUUUACGAUUUUGAAUCUUUGCAGUUGAAUUUCUUUUGCAUACAUCAUUAGUUCUCGAACGCUUGAGAUUUCUAUGAAUCCAAUGAUCUAUUUUGUUUUAAAUAUUGUUUACAUGAUCCUACUGCUGUUUUAUUUUUCUAUUUUGUUUUAAAUAUUGUUUAUAAUUGGUAAUGAGGAUGAGGAUUUGGUUUUCGUGGAUUUCAUGAGAAGUUAAAUUUUAGUUUCGAAAAUUUCGAAAUUGAUUAAAAAGAAAUUAACUUGGCAGCGGACUGAAUAUUCUGCUGUAAUGAUUUUUUGUCUCUAUUUUUCCAUAAAUUGUAGAUUUCAUUACAUUUUGUCAAUCUUGAUAUUGUUGACGGUAAUUGUGGUAAAAAUACUGAUUUUAUCGAUGUAUUUGUUGCUAAUCGCAUUGGGAUUUUUCGGUUGCAGCCGCGGUGGCAUGGGAAGCGGGGAAGCCACUGUCAAUUGAGGAAGUGGAGGUGGCCCCACCGCAGAAACAUGAAGUUCGCUUGAAGGUCCUCUUCACCUCUCUUUGCCACACCGAUGUCUACUUCUGGGAAGCCAAAGUAAAAACUUCAACUUUGAAUGCCAUUUUCUACUUUAAUAUCUGCGUAUCGAUAACUACAUCAUUAAGCAUGAUUCUUCAUAUGUUUAUAGUACUUAGUCCAUAACUUGCAAUUGAUUAGUGAAGUUAAGCAUGAUUUUGAGUGCUAAGUCUAAUGUGAUGAUAAAUCCUAUACAAGGCAUUUUCGUGCUUAGAAUGUCAGCUGUUGGAAUUGAAACAUAUAUGUUGUGUGCCAGGGACAACAACCGCUGUUUCCUCGCAUUUUUUGUCAUGAAGCUGGAGGGUAUGUACACAUCUCUGAAUAUUAAAGCUACAUAAUUUGUAAUUAACUUAGUAUUUGCUUCCAUUUUACGCGGUUUGUUUACUUUUCUAAAUUUUGUUUGCUUAACAUUUUGUGUUUAGAGUUGUGGAAAGCGUAGGCGAGGGCGUAACUGAACUCCAGCCGGGUGACCACGUCCUCCCUGUGUUCACUAGAGAGUGCAAGGAGUGCGCGCAAUGUAAGUCGAAGGAAAGCAACAUGUGUGAUCUGCUGAGGAUCAAUACUGAUAGGGGUACCAUGAUCAAUGAUGGCCAGUCCAGGUUCUCCAAGGAUGGAAAACCAAUUUAUCACUGUUUAGGUACUUCUACCUUCAGUGAAUACACUGUUUGUCAUGUUCGUUCCGUUGCUAAGAUCAACCCGGCUGCUCCCCUUGACAAAGUUUGUGUUCGUAGUUGCGGAAUAUGCACAGGUUCGAAAGACUUCUCCCAUUUUGACAGUGAAAAGUUGGAAUAAGAAAUUAGGGAUUUUCCAACUUUUCUUUCUGGAGUAAUCAAUUAUUGUUUCUGUUGGUGUAUUUGAAGGUUUUGGCGCCACUGUGAAUGUUGCAAAACCGAAAAAGGGUUCAUCUAUUGCCAUCUUUGGAUUGGGAGCUGUUAGUCUUGCUGUAAGUCAUUCUUAUUGCUCCUCUGUUAUGGCUCUUUUGGAUAGUUUGGAGUAGUGUAAGGAUUUUCUUGUUCAUCUUGUUCCAUUUUAGGCUGCUGAAGGUGCAAGGGUUUCGGGCUGUUCAAGGAUAUAGGAGGGAGGAUGGAUGGGAGGGUGAUUGUUCUUGUUUGCAGGGAGUCUCAGUGAAUUGCGUCACAAUUUAUACAUUAGGUUUAUCAAACUGAACUAUUUAUCAAACUAAACCACAUUUUUUUACCAAAGCAAAGUGAACUAUUUAUCAAAAUGAACUAUUUAUCAAAUUGAACUAGAAAACCACACUUUUUUACCAAAGCAAGCUGAACUAUUUAUCAAACUGAACUAGAAAAUCACACUUUUUUACCAAAGCAAACUGAACUAUUUAUCACACUAAACCACAUUUUUUUACCAAAGCAAACUGAACUAUUUAUCAAAGUGAACUAUUUAUCAAACCAAACCACAUUUUUUUACCAAAGCAAACUGAACUAUUUAUCAAACUGAACUAGAAAACCACAUUUUUUUACCAAAGCAAAUUGAACUAUUUAUUAAAUUAAACCACACUUUUUUACCAAAACAAAUUGAACUAUUUAUCAAAGUGAACUAUUUAUCAAACCAAACCACAUUUUUUUACCAAAGCAAACUGAAUUAUUUAUCAAACUAAACCACACUUUUUUACCAAAGCAAACUGAACUAUUUAUCAAACUGAACUAGAAAAACAUAUUUUUUUACCAUAGCAAACUAAACUAUUUAUUAAACUAAACCACAUUUUUUUACCAAAGCAAACUGAACUAUUGAUCAUCUCCAGGACCAUUGUUUUAUCAAUCAAUAGUCAAGACCGUACUGGCAAAUCUUUAAACCCACCAACUAAAAAUGAAAUUGAAAUAAUUUUCAAUGAAAGGGUUCCUACAGAAAACAUUUAUACAGGUUCUAAGCGGUAAACAAAAUUAAGGUGGAGAUUGGUAAUUUGAACAACCUAAUUCAAAUAAGUAAAAAAAAAAAAAUAUAUAUAUAUAUAUAUAUAUAUAUAUAUAAAUAAAAGAAAGUGGGAAUCGAUGGGUUUCUCAAGCCUAUGAAAAAGACGUCCCUUCCGACUUCCAGGAGCAAGGGGGAGGGCAAGAAGAAAACAAGAAAAAUAAAAAGGAGAAACCAACGGCAAAUUCAAAAAAAAAAGAGAGAGAGAAACUGGCUAACAAAAUGGCAUUCAAAUUCUAAACGGUUUGGCUAACGGAAGUGGUGUUCCGUCAAGGGCAAGGAUUGGAAAAAAAAAUUGUUUUGCACGCUGGGCUUACUUCCAGCCCGUGUGCUCUUUAGUUAGUCUUUUAUUUCUUAUAGUUUGUGUCCUUUUUCAUUAAAAUUCAUGUCCUUUUUAUUAAAUAAAGUUAUUAUGUGGUUUUUGGUUAAAUUAAAGUUAGUCAAAACCUUUUUCAUUAAAGCUCCCUUAUUAAAAAGGCUGGUUUAUAUUUAAAUUGGAAGAUUACAAUAUAUAUCUGAAGUCAAGACGGCACCCAGCUUCCUUUCCUUCUUAUUCCUUUUAUGAAAGACCAAAAUGAAAAACAGAAACAAAGUAUACGAAUUUACAGCAGACACAGAAAACCAAAUAACACGAUGCAUAUAUACUUCAUCUACAUAUAUAUACCGCCACCGCCACUGCCACUCAGUAGUAUCCUCACGUACACUGAUCAUGCACUGCCAUCAAAGCAAGCCGACCUCUGCCUGCUCGUCAAGCUCUUCAACUUUGCCCUUCAUACCCACCGGCACCACGUUCCCCACCGCCUUGUCCACCUUGCCUGCCAGGUUGCCCACCUUGCCCACCGCCUUGCCAACCACAUUCCUCUUGGCCACCUUCUUCCCAGCCUUGACCACCUUUGCCUCCCUGGCCACCGCCUUCCCUACCACGUUCCUCUUGGCCACCUUCUUCGGAUUAUUUCAGAGAUAAAAAUUGAUGCAUACCACUUUUGCCAGUUCCGGAAGUGGAGAGAGCUGUUUACAGCACAUGCUUUGUCAACUAGUGGUGGAUCUAGGAAAUAAUAUUAGAGGGUCAGUAAGAAUAGAAUACGUAGCACAUAAUUUUUUUUUUACCAGAAAUAGUAUAAAAAAAGUCGUACCCAGUGCACAAGGCUCCCGCUUUACGCAGGGUCUGGAAGAGGUGAAUGUCGGUUAACCUUACGCCCAUUUUAUGGAGAGGCUGCUCCCAAGUCUCGAACCCGAGACCUACCGCUCAUGAACCAGAAAUAGUAUGCAUAUCAUUAUUUAAUCGAGUCUUGGUAAACCUGAAGUCAUUUGGAAAAACAUAUUGCAAACCUAUUAAUGCCCCAUUUACGUGAGUAACUAACAUGUUCCAAAGCUACUUCCAUAUGAAUGCUUAACAAAAAAACAAACUUAUCUUGAACGCACUAAAAAUGUUUGAUAUCAUUGCAUCUCAUUAAUAUGGUUGUCCAAGAAUGAUAAUGUUUUGUUAUUUAUUGAGAUCACCAUUUCAUUCACUCUUCAUUCACAUUCUAUCAAACAAUUGGAAGACAUGGAUGGAACCAACUCUAAUCUUAAAAAUAGCAACAUCAAGGUAUCCAUGAAUAUACACUAAAGCUCGGAAGAUCGACACUCAAAGUAUCCAUAAACGUUCACCGAAGUUCGAAGGGUUAGCUGACCCCCUACCCCUCAAUGCAUCCGCCACUACUGUCAACCAAGUCGGAAACGAAGAUGUCAUUAAAUCUGUGCCACCACUUGCUGCAUCCAAUGGUUUCCAACUAGAAACUCCCUUCCCGGAAUGGCACCGCCGUGGUGUCCUCAGUGUCAGUGGCAUCCUUAAAUCUUGACAAAAAUGUUGAGAUAUUGGUAUCUCAACAUUGCUCUGUUUUCUAGGUCCGGCGACCAAUCAGAGGCGCCUAACGGAACCGGCAUAGGCUCGAACAGAACCUCAAAGAGGCAGAGAAAUUAUGCAGUACCUCAUCUCAAUCUGUUUAAACUUUAAAAUGCUGACACACGGAACAAAGUAUAUAUGGUGUAAUUCCAAACACACUCAUAUUACGAACUCUGUUUGAUUACGUUCGUAAAAUGCUCGGUUAUUCGAGUUAUUUGUUCCGUUGAUUCGCGUUUUUGAAGCCAAUUUUAUGAUAACAUAAACAAAAAUGGAAAUAAAACACAUAAUAUGCUUCAUUGAUCUGAAAAACCAACAAGCUUAUAAUACCACAACACAAACAUAACAAACACAUCCAGAAUACACCAACGAAGCCCUAAAAUCCACACACAAACCCUUAUGUUAUAAUCCCUGCACGAUUAUUCUCAUAACCCAAAUCACAGAAACAGUUUCAAGCAAUCUUGACCUCGAUUGUCUUCGGCUUCUUCGGCUCCGGCGGCGGCAGCUUCUGCACUGUGACAGUCAAAACCCCAUCCUGGCAAACAGCAGAAAUCGCAUCCACAUUAGCAUUCUCCGGCAACACAAACUUCCUCAUGAACUUGCCGACCCUCCGCUCCAUCCUCACGUACUUAGCCCCUUCCUUCUCCUCCUCCCGCUUCCUCUCGCCGCUGAUCAGAAGCACAUUGUCGUCCUCCACCUGGACCUUGAUGUCCCCGGACUUCAGUCCCGGCAUGUCCACCACGAACACGUAGGAGGUCGGGUACUCCUUGACGUCUGCCGGCGUGGAGGCCAUGGCCUUGGCGUCGCGGAAGUAGGUCCGGGUGGGGGCGUUGAAGGAUUUCUCGGCGUCGUCGGCGGCGUCGAUGAUGUGCUGAAGUGUGGAGAAGAGCGGGGCAUCCAAACCCUGGAUUCUGACAUCCAUUCUUCCCUUCUUGGUGGGUGGAAUUUUUGCUUUUCGGUUUUGAUUUGAAGGCUUUUGUGAGUUUUCGAGUGGGAAUCUCGUCGCUGUUACGGAGGGGAGUAGUGGUUGUGGGUAUUUAUAGGAGGAGUUGAGGGAGGACGGGGGUUAGCGGGGAGGGAAAAUGAAUGUUCUGGAGAAACGUGGAAGGAAGGGAGGAGGUUCCAGUAGGUCCCAUUUCUUCUGUGAGCGUCUAGAACAUUCUGGAAGCGUUUACUAGGUAGGGGCAGGGCCCCUAUAGCCAUUUAUGAGAUAUUUUGUUGGGAAAGAACCAAAAAGCUAAAAUAGAUAACAGUACUAAAUUAAAAGAUAAUCACCAAAAAGCAAAAGAGAAAAAUGUGACGAAGAUAAUCGUGCACUUAAUUUUGUUAUGUGAAGAAACAAACGAAAAUUAAUUCGAUAAAUCGACGGCUAGAGGUAUUCUCCCUGUUUGGUUCAAUCAUUUAGGGCACUUUUCAAAUUACAUAGAUAAUGAGUUAAAUGACUAGUUUGAUUAACAUUUCAUAAAUAAUAUAACAAUGGUCAAUCUACUGGGACGAACACUUCAUAAAUAAUGUAACAAUGGUCAAUCUAAUGAUAUUCUUGGUGACGAAUUGAGAAUAUAUUAAAUAUGAGCCACCAAAAGACAAGUAAAUUCCUAGUAGCACCACUUUUUAAAUUAUUAAAUAAUAUUAUUAUUAGAAAAAAAAGUAAACUCUAAAAUAAGGUUAUCAAUUGGUACACAAAUAAGAGCUCGUUUUGAUGUGCUUUUAAAAUAAUUGAAAAUACUUUUAAAGAAAAUAUUUGUAGGUUCCAAAAGCACUUAAGUGUUUUCUACAAAAAUAACCAUUUAUGUGCUUCUUUCAAGAAGCACUUUAUGUGCUUUUCUAAGAUUUACUACUAUUUUUACUAAGGAUUGUUUCCAAAAAUAUUUUCACUAAAAGCGCUUUCAGUCAUUUUAAAAACAUAUCCAAACGAAUCCCAAGUUAUUAAAAAUGCUGGUUUUAUAUCCAAAUUGGAAGAUUACAAUAUAUAUCUGAAGUCAAGACGGCACCCACCUUCCUUUCCUUCUUUUUCUUUUUAUAUGAAAGACCAAAAUGAAAAACAGAAACAAAGCAUACAAAUUUACAGCAAACACAGAAAACCAAAUAGGCCAACAACAACAACAACAACAACAAAGCCUUUUCCCACUAAGUGGGGUCGGCUAUAUGAAUCCUAGAACGCCAUUGCGCUCGGUUUUGUGUCAUGUCCUCCGUUAGAUCCAAGUACUCUAAGUCUUUUCUUAGAGUCUCUUCCAAAGUUUUCCUAGGUCUUCCUCUAUCCCUUCGGCCCUGAACAUCUGUCCCGUAGUCACAUCUUCGAACCGGAGCGUCAGUCGGCCUUCUUUGCACAUGUCCAAAUCACCGGAGCCGAUUUUCUCUCAUCUUUCCUACAAUUUCGGCUACUCCUACUUUACCUCGGAUAUCCUCAUUCCCAAUCUUAUCCUUUCUCGUGUGCCCACACAUCCCACAAAGCAUCCUUAUCUCCGCUACACCCAUUUUGUGUACGUGUUGAUGUUUCACCGCCCAACAUUCUGUGCCAUACAACAUCGCUGGCCUUAUUGCUGUCCUAUAAAAUUUUCCCUUGAGCUUCAGUGGCCUACGACAGUCACACAACACGCCGGAUGCACUCUUACACUUCAUCCAUCCAGCUCGUAUUCUAUGGUUGAGAUCUCCAUCUAAUUCUCCGUUCUCUUGCAAGAUAGAUCCUAGGUAGCGAAAACGGUCGCUUUUUGUGAUCUUCGCUAGAUUGCUCCGGUCAUUAGUGUGGAUAAGUAUAUAAAUGGAUAGAGAUAGGAAAGCAAACACAAGAUGUACGUGCUUCACCCAGAUUGGCUACGUCCACGUAAUAGAAGAGUUCUCAUUAAUUGUGAAGGGUUUACACAAGUACAUAGGUUCAAACUCUCCUUUAGUGAGUACAAGUGAAUGAUUUAGUACAAAUGACAUUAGGAAAUAUUGUGGGAGAAUGAUCUCGUAAUCACGAAACUUCUAAGUAUCGGAGUGUGGUGUCGUCUUGACUUGCCUUAUCUGUCUCAUAGGUAGAUGUGGCAUCUUCUCUGGAAGUACUCUUCCUCCAUCCAGGGGUGGUAUCUUUAACUGGUGGAGAUGCACAAGGUAAUGUAUCAAUUUCACUUGAAGCUUACUUGUAGUUUCAGGCUUGGUCAAGCGCGAUACAAACCAUGUAGUAGGAGUCCCCCAAGUCGCCGAGCUAGGGGGUCUGCUGAAAGAGGUGACAGACAAGGUAAGCAAUCAGAGCUCCGACUAAUUGUUCACCUUCUCCCCAUCUUGCAGCCGCAUGAAGGAUAAAGAGAAGAAAAAUGAGAAGAGAUGAUAUGAGAUACUUUUGCUUUUGAAGAAGUAACUUUCCACAGGCUUAUUCUUAAACUGAGCUGGAGGGUUUUCUGGUUUCCUCCAGAGUAUAAGGCCGACUGAAGAAUUUGAGGGUCAAAACAAGUCCAUCAAAUCUAGAGUACGUUCCACCCUGCUGAUAUGGGAUACUUUUGCUUUUGACAGAGUAAUGGAUGUAUCGGCACGUGUGCUGUUACACUUGUCUCCACAUGCUUCCUUGUAUCCUUCGCACUUGCCCUAUCUGUUCCUCAAGCAGAUGCGGAAUCUUCCCUGGAAACAUAAGAUGUUGAAGAUGAGUACUCGAGAGCAAUACCAGGUAAGUAAUCAGGUAAGGGGUUCCAGGCAGUCAGUUCCUGGCUGGAAGCUUGAUUCCAAGUGCUGACUGAUUGCUCUCUUUCUCCUUGUCUUGCAGGUAAAAACAAGGCCAAAGGAAAAGACAGGGAAAAAGCAUGAUAUGGGAUACUCUUGCUUUUAAUCCUGAUGAUAUGAGAUAUUCUUGCUCUAGUAUAGCUUGUUUACAGAGGUAUUAUCGGGGGGAAAGAAAGCUGAAUAUUUCGAAAGGCUUCGUUGGGAGUGCCCUCUCAGAUAUGAUGAAGGGUUGAGCAUUUUUGCAGGUCUGCCUGUCCGUUGGGGAUGGAGGUCGACAUAUAUAGGAGUCUCCCUAACAACAAGUAGUAAUGCUAUUCAUUUACCCUGCUUGGUCAUAGCACGGUAGUGGGAGCUGCCAGUUUCACAUGUUUUAACUCUGUCAGAGCACUUUGAAAAAGUGGUCUGUGGUAUCUGGCUCUCGAGAUUCGGAGAACGAUGCCUCUUCGAUUUUUGAGAAAGCAAUUAUGCUGGGGGUCUAGCUCUCGAGAUUCGGAGAGCAGUGUCUCUUCGAUUUUUGAGGAAGUAAUCAUGUUAGGAGUCUGGCUCUCGAGAUUCGGAGGGCGGUGCCUCUUCGAUUUUGGAGCAAGCAAUCAUGUUGGGAGUGUUGUCUCGAAUGUGAGUAAAGGUUGGGCAUGUUUGCUAGUCUACCUUGCCCCGAAGCACAAAGGUUGACACACAGGGACUUUCCAAUUAUCUAGCAAUGGUACUGUUCCUUUACCCUCUCUUCGCUUUUGAGAAAGUAGUCAUGUUGGGAGUCUGGCUCUCGAGAUUCGGAGGACGGUGCCUCUUCGAUUUUGGAGCAUGCAAUCUUGUUGGGAGUGUUUUCUCGAAUGUGAGUAAAGGUUGGGCAUGUUUGCGAGUCUACCUUGCCACGAAGCACAGAUGUUGACACACAGGAACUUUCCAAUUAUCCAGCAAUGGUACUGUUCCUUUACCCUUGUGGGUAAUAAUAUGGUAGCUAGACCUUCAAAAUUUAUGUGUCUAAACUUUGUUAGUGCUGUUUCUUUGCUAUUCUUUUACCUUUCUUGGUCAGAGCGAUGUAGUGGGAGCUGCAAGCUUCACGUGCUCAACUUUGGCAGAGAACUUUGGCAAAGUUAUCUGUGGUACCCAUGAGCUAUUGUUGCGUGUGGGAAGUGGGUGAUUGAACAGUAAGAUUCAUGUGCUUUCUACUUCACCAGAAGUCUUCGACAGAAUGCCCAUAAUUUCUGCAAAGCUGAGUGUGCGUGUGACAGGUGCUGACAAGGCUAGAAUAGUAGGUGCCUCUUCGAUUUCUGAGAUCGGCCCUCGUGGUAUCUGAGCAGCCCAGCUUUUGAGAAAGCGAGCGCCUCUUCGAUUGAUUCGGAGAACGAUGCCUCAUCGAUUUUUGAGAAAGCAAUCAUGCUGGGGGUCUGGCUCUCGAAGAUUCGGGGAGCAGUGUCUCUCCGAUUUUUGAGAAAGUAAUCAUGUUGGGAGUCUGGCUCUCGAGAUUCGGAGGGCGGUGCCUCUUCGAUUUUGGAGCAAGCAAUCUUGUUGGGAGUGUUUUCUCGAAUGUGAGUAAAGGUUGGGCAUGUUUGCUAGUCUACCUUGCUACGAAGCACAGAGGUUGACACACAGGGACUUUCCAAUUAUCCAGCAAUGGUACUGUUCCUUUACCCUCUCUUCGAUUUUUAAGAAAGUAGUCAUGUUGGGAGUCUGGCUCUCGAGAUUCGGAGGACGGUGCCUCUUCGAUUUUGGAGCAAGCAAUCUUAUUGGGAGUGUUUUCUCGAAUGUGAGUAAAGGUUGGGCAUGUUUGCUAGUCUACCUUGCCACGAAGCACAGAGGUUGACACACAGGGACUUUCCAAUUAUCCAGCAGUGGUACUGUUCCUUUACCCUUGUGGGUAAUAAUAUGGUAGCUAGACCUUCAAAAUUUAUGGGUCUAAACUUUGUUAGUGCUGUUUCUUUGCUAUUCUUUUACCCUUCUUGGUCAGAGCGAUGUAGUGGGAGCUGCAAGCUUCACGUGCUCAACUUUGGCAGAGAACUUUGGCAAAGUUAUCUGUGGUACCCAUGAGCUAUUGUUGCGUGUGGGAAGUGGGUGAUUGAACAGUAAGAUUCAUGUGCUUUCUACUUCACCAGAAGUCUUCGACAGAAUGCCCAUAAUUUACACAAAGCUGAGUGUGCGUGUGACAGGUGCUGACAAGGCUGGAAAAGUAGGUGCCUCUUCGAUUUCUGAGAUCGGCCCUCGUGGUCUCUAGGGAGCCCAGCUUUUGAGAAAGCGAGCGCCUCUUCGAUUUCUGAGAUCGACCUUCAUGGUCUUUGAGCAGCCCAACUUUUGAGAAAGCAAACGCCUCUUCGAUUUCUGAGAUCAACCCUCGUGAUCUCUAAGCAGCCCAGCUUUUGAGAAAGCAAACGCCUCUUCGAUUUCUGAGUAGGCGCCUCUUCGAUUUCUGAAGCUCCGUCGAGUGCAGAUUUUUAUAGGGGCUGGCAUUAAGUUCCAAAGCACACUUGAAUCUCCACCAGUAGAAGCUUCAUUCUUGCACUUCUAAGAUCUUGAUUUGUCCGACCUCUUCUCUCUUCAACACCUUUGAAAAUGUCUGGCCCCUCCGACCGUCGUUUUGACUUGAACCUUGUUGAAGAGGCAGCCCCGCCUUCUCCAGACAACAUAUGGCGUUCAUCCUUCGUCUCCCCUACUGGUCCUCUUACCGUUGGGGAUUCCAUGAUGAAGAAUGAUAUGACCGCUGCGGUGGUGGCCAGGAACCUUCUCACUCCCAAAGAUAACAGACUACUUUCCAAACGGUCUGAUGAGUUAGCUGUUAAGGAUUCGCUGGCUCUCAGUGUUCAGUGUGCAGGUUCUGUGUCUAAUAUGGCCCAACGCCUAUUUGCUCGAACCCGCCAAGUUGAAUCAUUGGCGGCUGAAGUGAUGAGUCUCAAACAGGAGAUUAGAGGGCUCAAGCAUGAGAAUAAACAGUUGCACCGGCUCGCACAUGACUAUGCUACAAACAUGAAGAGGAAGCUUGACCAGAUGAAGGAAACUGAUGGUCAGGUUUUACUUGAUCAUCAGAGAUUUGUGGGUUUGUUCCAAAGGCAUUUAUUGCCUUCGUCUUCUGGGGCGGUACCGCGUAAUGAAGCUCCGAAUGAUCAACCUCUGAUGCCUCAUCCUUCUAGGGUUCUGUCCAGUACUGAGACUCCAAAUGAUCCCCCUCCGGUGCCUUCUCUUUCUGGGGCUCUACCGACUGCUGAGACUUCUCCUAAGCAACCUUUGUGAAGGCUCCCUCUUGUGUGUUUAUUUUGACUCAUGUAUAUGUACAUAUUUGUAGCUUAUCGGGGAUAUCAAUAAAUAAGCUUUCCUUCAUUUCAACGUAUUGUGUUAAAUACACCAAAGCCUUCUUCGCUAAGUUCUUUGAAUUUUCUUUUGUUGAAGCUUGUAUGUUGAAGCUUUCUGGGUGGAGCAUGUAGGUUGGGGUAGUGUUCCCUUAAUUUCCCGAGUGAGGAAAACUUCUCGGUUGGAGACUUGGAAAAUCCAAGUCACUGAGUGGGAUCGGCUAUAUGAAUCUUAGAACGCCAUUGUGCUCGAUCCUGAGUCAUGUCCUUCGUUAGAUCCAAGUACUCUAAGUCUUUUCUUAGAGUCUCUUCCAAAGUUUUCCUAGGUCUUCCUCUACCCCUUCGGCCCUGAACCUCUGUCCCAUAGUCGCAUCUUCUAAUCGGAGCGUCAGUAGGCCUUCUUUGCACAUGUCCAAACCACCGUAACCGAUUUUCUCUCAUCUUUCCUUCAAUUUCGGCUACUCCUACUUUACCCCGGAUAUCCUCAUUCCUAAUCUUAUCCUUUCUCGUGUGCCCACACAUCCAACGAAGCAUCCUCAUCUCCGCUACACCCAUUUUGUGUACGUGUUGAUGUUUCACCGCCCAACAUUCUGUGCCAUACAGCAUCGCCGGCCUUAUUGCCGUCCUAUAAAAUUUUCCCUUGAGCUUCAGUGGCAUACGGCGGUCACACAACACGCCGGAUGCACUCUUCCACUUCAUUCAUCCAGCUUGUAUUCUGUGGUUGAGAUCUCCAUCUAAUUCUUCGUUCUUUUGCAAGAUAGAUCCUAGGUAAUGAAAACGGUCGCUCUUUGGUAUUUCUUGAUCUCCGAUCCUCACCCCUAACUCGUUUUGGCCUCCAUUUGCACUGAACUUGCACUCCAUAUAUUCUGUCUUUGAUCGGCUUAGGCGAAGACCUUUAGAUUCCAACACUUCUCUCCAAAGGUUAAGCUUUGCAUUUACCCCUUCUUGAGUUUCAUCUAUCAACACUAUAUCGUCUGCGAAAAGCAUACACAAAGGAAUAUCAUCUUGAAUAUGUCCUGUUAACUCAUCCAUUACCAACGCAAAAAGGUAAGGACUUAAGGAUGAGCCUUGAUGUAAUCCUACAGUUAUAGGAAAGCUUUCGGUUUGUCCUUCAUGAGUUCUUAUGGCAGUCUUUGCUCCUUCAUACAUAUCCUUUAUAGCUUGGAUAUAUGCUACUCGUACUCAUUUCUUCUCUAAAAUCCUCCAAAGAAUGUCUCUUGGGACCCUAUCAUACGCUUUUUCCAAAUCUAUAAAGACCAUGUGUAAAUCCUUUUUCCCAUCUCUAUAUCUUUCCAUCAAUCUUCGUAAGAGAUAGAUUGCCUCCAUGGUUGAGCGCCCUGGCAUGAACCCGAAUUAGUUGUCCGAAACCCGUGUCUCUUGCCUCAAUCUAUGCUCAAUGACUCUCUCCCAGAGCUUCAUUGUAUGACUCAUUAGCUUAAUACCCCUAUAGUUCAUGCAAUUUUGUACGUCACCCUUAUUCUUGUAGAUAGGCACCAAAGUGCUCGUUCGCCACUCAUUUGGCAUCUUCUUCGUUUUCAAAAUCCUAUUGAAAAGGUCAGUGAGCCAUGUUAUACCUGUCUCUCCCAAAAGUUUCCACACUUCGAUUGGUAUAUUGUCUGGGCCUAUUGCUUUUUUAUGCUUCAUCUUCUUCAAAGCUACAACCACUUCUUCCUUCCGGAUUCGACGAUAAAAAGAGUAGUUUCUACACUCUUCUGAGUUACUCAACUCCCCUAAAGAAGCACUCAUUUCAUGUCCUUCAUUGAAAAGAUUAUGAAAAUAACCUCUCCAUCUGUCUUUAACCGCGUUCUCUGUAGCAAGAACCUUUCCAUCCUCAUCCUUGAUGCACCUCACUUGGUUUAGGUCCCUUGUCUUCUUUUCCCUUGCUCUAGCUAGUUUAUAGAUAUCCAACUCUCCUUCUUUGGUAUCUAGUCGUUUAUACAUAUCGUCGUAAGCCGCUAACUUAGCUUCUCUGACAGCUUUCUUCGCCUCUUGCUUCGCUUUUCUAUACCUUUCACCAUUUUCAUCGGUCCUCUCCUUGUAUAAGGCUUUACAACAUUCCUUCUUAGCCUUCACCUUUGUUUGUACCUCCUCAUUCCACCACCAAGAUUCCUUUUGGUGUGGGGCAAAGCCUUUGGACUCUCCUAAUACCUCUUUUGCUACUUUUCGGAUACAACUAGCCAUGGAAUCCCACAUUUGGCUAGCUUCCCCCUCUCUAUCCCACACACAUUGGGUGAUUACCUUCUCUUUGAAAAAUGACUUGUUUUUCUUCUUUUAGAUUCCACCAUCUAGUCCUUGGGCACUUCCAAGUCUUGUUCUUUUGUCUUACUCUUUUGAUAUGUACAUCCAUCACCAACAAGCGAUGUUGAUUAGCCACGCUCUCUCCUGGUAUAACUUUGCAAUCCUUACAAGUUAUACGAUCCCCUUUCCUCAUUAGAAGAAAAUCUAUUUGUGUUUUUUUACGACCCACUCUUGUAGGUGAUCACAUGUUCUUCUCUCUUCUUAAAGAAGGUGUUGGCUAAGAAGAGAUCAUAUGCCAUUGCAAAAUCCAAGAUAGCUUCCCCAUCCUCGUUUCUCUCCCCAAAAUCAUGGCCACCAUGAAAACCUCCAUAGUUGCCUGUCUCCCUGCCCACGUGUCCAUUUAAAUCUCCUCCUAUAAAUAACUUCUCCGUCUGAGCAAUUCCUUGCACCAAGUCUCCAAGAUCUUCCCAAAAUUUCUCCUUCGAACUCGUAUCCAACCCUACUUGAGGUGCGUACGCACUAAUCACAUUGAUAAGUUCUUGUCCUAUUACAAUCUUGAUUGCCAUGAUUCUAUCUCCUACCCUCUUGACAUCUACAACAUCUUGUACCAAGGUCUUGUCCACGAUGAUGCCAACACCAUUUCUCGUUCUAUUUGUGCCCGAAUACCAAAGUUUAAACCCUGAGUUUUCUAGAUCCUUUGCCUUACUACCAACCCACUUAGUUUCUUGUAGGCACAUAAUAUUUAUCCUUCUCCUCACCAUAACUUCCACUACUUCCAUAGAUUUUCCCGUUAAGGUUCCUAUAUUCCACGUUCCUAAACGCAUUUUGCUCUCUUGAACUCUACACUUCUGUCCUAGCUUCUUCACCCUCCCCCGUCUAAUAGGAUCAAAGUACUUCUUUUGUGUGUCCCGGGUAAAGUUGAUAGGAGCAUAUGCUCCCAAACAACUUUGAGUGGAGUCGUUCGAAAAGAAGUUUCUAUGGCCCCCUUGCUCAUUUAACACUGCAUCCGGGUGCCGAUGGAGAUACAGCGACCCUUGCUCGCUUAUCACUGUGCUCGGGCCACACAGCGCGCCACUUACGGGUGACGCCCUAGCUUUAACGCGAUUUUGUUCUGGAUUCAUUUUCAUAAGGAUUCGACGUGAUCAUGGAGUGCCGGCUGUCGACUACCUGACGCCCUCCCCUCUCUCCUUUAUCCGGGCUUGGGACCGGCCAUGUAAGACAUAGGCGGAGUUGAAAACCAAAAUAGGCCAAAUUGAAUUAUUCAUCCUUGUGGUCAUAGGAAACUUGCAUGAUGACCCCGUGAUGAAAAAAUUAGGAAUUAAACCCCUGUGGUCAAGAAUGUUAGAAAAUUUAGUCCAAAAGUAAGAUUUCUGUUAAAUGACUGUUAAAAGUAUGGGUAAAACUGUAUUUUCAGUUCCAAUUGACAUUUAAAAUAAAUAAAUAUUUUUUAUAACAAUUAACAAAAAAAAUAAUGCUUAAUUUUUUAAAUAAAAAAAAGCCCCAAUUCAAUGUCAAUUGAAACUGAAAAUACAGUUUUACUCCAACUUUUAAGUUUUAACAGUCCUUUAACAGAAAUCUUACUUUUGGACUAGAUUUGCUAACAUUUUAGACCAUCGGGAUUUAAUUCCUAGUUUUUUCACCAUAGGGGUCAUCAUGCAAGUGUCCUAUGACCAUGGGAUGAACAAUUCAAUUUGGCCAACCAAAUAACACGAUGCAUAUAUACUUCAUCGACAAAUAUAUAUAUACCGCCACCGCUACUCAGUAGUAUCCUCAUGUACACUGAUCAUGCACUGCCAUCAGAGCAAGCCGAUCUCUGCCUGCUUGUCAAGCCCUUCAACUUUGCCAUUCAUACCCACCGGCACCACGUUCCCCACCGCCCUGUCCACCUUGCCAACCACAUUCCUCUUGGCCACCUUCUUCCCAGCCUUGACCACCUUUGCCUCCCUAGCCACCGCCUUCCCUACCACGUUCCUCUUGGCCACCUUCUUCGGAUUAUACUCGGAUUAUUUCAACAAUAUAAAUUAAUGCAUACUGCUUUUGCCAGUUCCGGAAGUGGAGAGAGCUGUUUACAGCACAUGCUCUGUUGAAGGAUCCAGAAAAUAAUAUUAGGAGGAUCAGUAAGAAUAAUACGCAAUAUUUUUUACCAAAAAUAGCAUGCAUAUCGCUAUUUCAUCGAGUCUUAGGUCGUCUAAGAUCAUUUAGAAAUGAAUGCCCCCUCAUUUACGAGAGUAACUAACAUCUUCUAAGACUGCUCCCAUAUAAAUGCUUAACAAAAAAACACACUAACAAUGUUUGAUACCAUUACAUCCCAUUAAUAUAUUUAUCUAAGAAUAAUGAUGUUUUGUUAUUCACUGAGAUGAUCAUUUCAUUCACUCUUCUUUCAGACAUUUUAUCAAAUAGUUAGAGAGCAUGAAUGAAGCCAACUUUAAUCUUCAAAAAGGCACACUGAAAUUCGAAGCAUCAGCACCUAAGAUGUACCCAUGAACGUUCAUCGAAGUUGGAGAGGUCAGCUGACCCCUGUGCAUCCGCCACUGCUGUGAACUAAGUCGGAAACGAAGAUGUCAUUAAAUCUGUGCCACCACUUGCCGCAUCCAAUGGUUUCCAACUAGAAACUCCCUUCCCGGAAUGGCACGGCCGUGGUGUCCCCAGUGUCGAGGGCGGUAAGUGGCAUGCUUAAAUCUUGACAAAAUGUUGAGAUAUUGGUAUCUCAACAUUGCUCUGUUUUCUAGGUCCGGCGAUGAAUCAGAAGCGCCUAACGGAACCGGCAUAGGCUCAAACAGAACCUCGAAGAGGCUGAGGAAUUACGCAGUGCCUCAUCCCAAUCUGUUUAAAAUGCUAACACACGGAACAACGUAUAUGGCGUAAUUCCAAACACACAUAUUACGAACUUUGUUUGAUUACGUUCGUAAAAUGCUCGGUUAUUCGAGUUAUUUGUUCCGUUGAUUCGCGUUUUUGAAGCCAAUUUUAUGAUAACAUAAACAAAAAUGGAAAUAAAACACAUAAUAUGCUUCAUUGAUCUGAAAAACCAACAAGCUUAUAAUACCACAACACAAACAUAACAAACACAUCCAGAAAACACCAACGAAGCCCUAAAAUCCACACACAAACCCUUAUGUUUUAUAAUCCCUGCACGAUUAUUCUCAUAACCCAAAUCACAGAAACAGUUUCAAGCAAUCUUGACCUCGAUUGUCUUCGGCUUCUUCGGCUCCGGCGGCGGCAGCUUCUGCACCGUGACAGUCAAAACCCCAUCCUGGCAAACAGCAGAAAUCGCAUCCACGUUCGCGUUCUCCGGCAACACAAACUUCCUCAUGAACUUGCCGACCCUCCGCUCCAUCCUCACGUACUUAGCCCCUUCUCUCUACAGAAGCAUCAAACUAAUGUAGUUUAGAUGUCCAUAUCUUCUAUGCCACAACUGAGAUGACUCUUCAACAGUUGCUCUAUUAGCCAUGUGAGGAUUAACAUAUUCCAAACUUAAUGGAAAGCAUCUGUUUCCUUUCAUUGGAACACUUGCAAUCAGAUCUUCCAUCUGUCUAUCUCCAUAAAUAUCAACCAUGUAAUCACCAAAACACAAGCCAAUGUCCAUGUUCUACCAUCUGCCUUACACUCAAUAAGUUUUUCAUCCAAUCUAGGUACAAUCAUAACUUCUUUAAUAUACCUAGUCACACCUUUCAUCUCAAUCACCAAUGUGCCUUUGCCUAUUGACUGCACUAAAUCUCCAGUGCCCAUUUUAACUCUACACUUCACAUUCUUAUCAACAUCAAUAAGCAAGGAUUCAUGGGAGGUCAUAUGAUUGCUACAUGCACUAUCUACAUACCAUAUAUUCAUACUUCUUCCAAUAGUAGCAGAAUGGCAGGCAUAAAACAUGGUUGCAUAUUCUAUUACCUGAUUCACAUAGUUUACAAGUUUUCCAGACUUGUUUGGUUGAUCACAAUCCUUGAUGAAAUGACCGAAACGAUUGCAUCCAUGACAUUUCGGCUUCCCUUUAAACCAGCACUCACCAUAGUGCAGUUUAUCACAAUGCUUGUAUUUUCCCUUAGACUGAUCAGAUUUUCCUCCUUGAUCAUAUUUGCCACCUCGAUUAGCAAGAUUCUGAGGUUUAGGAUCCCAUUUCUUUCCUUUUGAUUUCCAAUCCUUCUUUGGUUUAGAAUUACCAAACGAGAGAUUUGGUUGGGUUCCUUUUGAAUUCAGAUUCAGAGUACUGAAAGCUCUUUCAAUGGUACUCUCAGCAUGCCUAUCAAGGCGUUGUGCAAACCCUCUUAAUGCUGCAAUCACCUCUUGUACCUCAAUAGUUUCAAUAUCCUUGGUUUGUUCAAUUACAUAACAAACAGGAUCAAACUCCUUAGUUAAGCUUAUGAGCAAUUUCUGAACUAAUCGUUCUCUGGGUAAAUCUUCCCCAUAACCCUUCAUCUGAUUUACCAACUCGAGAAGACGAGUGAGAUACAUAGACAGAGUUUCAUCAUCCUUCAUCCUUGUGUACUCGAAAUCACGGCGUAGACCCUGCAACUUGAUGGAUCUCACUUGCUUAUCACCAUGAAAUUCCUGAUGUAGGAUAUCCCAAGCACCCUUUGAGGUCUCUUCGUUUGAGAUUCUGGGAAAGAUGUCAUCCGAGACAGCUCCUUGGAUUAUACCCAGUGCCUUAGCAUCCUUCAUUAGCUUGUCGCUCAGAGAAACUCUCUCUGACUCCGAUGAGCCUUCAUCUCCAAUCUUCUUAUCCUUCGAUUAUGAAAUUUCAAACCCCUUUUCAAACUAAAUCCCAGAUUCCAUGUGAUUUGAAAAUAGUUCUCAUUCGAAUCUUCCAAAAUUCAUAGUUGUCACCAUUGAAUAUUGGAGCCCGAAGAUCACUACCACCAGAUCCAGCCAUUUGAGACUUGAAUCGACAAAACUGAGUUGGAAAUUUCACGUUGGAUUUCCAAGCACAGCACUCACAGAUCUUACGCCCCGAUUCCAGAUAGAACCUGUGCUCUAGAUACCAUGUUAAGUUUUUAGUAAGCUGAUAUAUUCAGGAAUUGGAUUUUAAAGGAAGCUGAAAAGACAGAGAGGGUGAGAGGCAAGGUUUUUCACAACUGCAACUCUGUUACUAUGCAGAGAGCAACAUUUCAUUCAUAUACAUUCCUUUCUUUUACAUCAGACAUCAUAAUAUCCGUUCAAUUACACGAGUCAAUGUGAUUUUUGACACAUGGCAGAACAAAGCAUAUGAGCCAUUGAAAAAGAGUCUUGAUCUAAGACCAUACACUUGGCAUAUGAGCACAAGUUAUCACAUCAUAAAACAGCUACUCAAUAGAACAAAGAUAAAAUAGAUAAGUAAAUCAUUUACUAACUUGAAAUUAGUAAGCAAUUUACUUUUCAACAAUCACUAGCUAAGUCACCAAUCAAGGCAUAUGGAAUAUGACUAAUUUAAUUAAGAAGACCAUGUGAGUCCCACUUUGAUUGGUUGUUUAUUUUUCUAUCUUCUGAUAUGAUAUGUUUCUUGUCUUAGUAGAGUCAUGUUUUGAUCCAUCUCUCAUUUUUCUUAAUUAAAUUAUUAUCAAGUUUAUAUUAAUUGCGCCUAAACCACAUAUAUAUGAUAGUGCCUUAUGACUAUAUGAGAUACUAAUUAAUAUGAUUAGGUUUCUCUUUGGUGGUAGUGGUAUAAAAGCUUAUAUGAAUGAAUUCCCGUAACCUAAUACUGCUAAUCAUAUAAGUGGAGAAUAUAUAUAGUUGAUAUAUAUUUCAUGAACUAAUACAAGCAAAUGUAAUUAAUGCUAGUGACAUGUAUUAAUUGGCAAAAGUUUUUUACAUGCAUCAACUGUUAAGAGUUGUCAGAGAUUGCAAUAAGACAGAGCCUAAUAUUCUUCUCCAGCUAGAUAUAUUGUUUCUUAGCAUAAGAAUGUGAACAUGAUAUUCCACACAAAUAACGCCCCAUAUGAUAAGAGCAUCUUAGUAAAAUAGGCCAAUUUUUUAUGUCAUGUAGGCAAAAACAUGCUCAACUGGGUGUAGUUAAUUGGGUAGGCAAAUUUUACCCACUUCAACACUGCCCUACUUUCAACAUUAUAGGUAAAUUGGGUUUAACGUCUCUAUUUAUAGUAGAGUAUUUCAUGUGGACGAAGAAGAUAAAUUAAAAUAUAAAAGAUGAAAAAAAUAGUAAAUAAAAUUUUGUCUACUUAAUCUAUUACUUAUUUUAUUAGAGUAACACAUUUCAUAAAAUAAUUGUAAUACAUUUUUAUUUGAUUUGGCGUCAUUGGAAAGUGCGUGAAGGAUUUGAGCUUCUUCUCUACACUUCCAUGGGGCCAGGAAUACGUGCUGUAUAUUUUAUUACCGUCAUAUCAUCAAAAGAUCAAAAAAUAUAUAUGUGUUCUUACAAGUUUUACCAAAAGAAAUGGGAGUAGUGACGUCAGAUUUGUGUAGUUGCUUCUGCUCAAUGCGAUCUGCCAAAGUCGGAUGUACGUCAAACAACACAAUCUUCGCCUCUGAGUUGGGCCAAACUGCUUUUCUGCAACUGGAAGCUUCCUUUUUCGGCGUUUAGCUUUUACAAGUGGCAAAGUGUAGAAGCCAUUCCAGUUUUGACUAAAAAGUGGUUUUCAAUUUUACUAUUUUAGCGGGUUUCGGUUUUACGUUUACUUUGCGGCUUCUAGGGUUUCUUGCUUUUUACUGCCACAAGUGUAAUUGAUUAGGCUGUGUCGGAUUUUUACAGCUAACUAUGAUUAGGAGAAAGAUUAAGCGUAAAAAAAUGUUGUAAAUUUUGCCUUGUUUAUAACCCAGGAAAGAUUUGCUUUGCUUUUUUUAACAUGGAAUAUUGAUAUGUAUUUAAUUAACUACAUGAUAUUGAUACGUAUCCUUUUUAACUUAUCUCUACGCUUUGGUAUAAAUUGAACCAAUCAGAGGAGAAUGAAAACAUGAAAAUUGAUACCUUUUUUUUCAUUUUUGCCUUUAAUCAUGUUUUCGGCUUUUGCUUAUUAUAGUAUGUGGAUUCUAUGUCCAAUCCCACCCAAAAGAAUAGUAAUUGUGCUGCAUAAAUUGGCAUAUAGCGAAGCCCAAUCCAGUACAUACUAAUAAUUGGGUUCUAGCCCAAGCCUUGAAAAACAAUUUCAGGGGAGGAGUUAUAAGCAUAUACUAAUGUGAGAGACCAAGGAAUUAACAUUUGUUAUUCAUCAGUUCAAAUAUGUAUGAGAUGGAUAACCAUAUGAGUAUGUACAUCUAUCUACAUCUAUCACAAAAAUUGAUCGCAUAUCGUAUUGCAGAUGAGUUCUGCCUCCAUUACAGAUGUGGUUUUUUAUGUUCUCACCGCCGAACAAGUAGUUUGUGUUUGGGUUAAAACUUAAACUUUGGGCUUAAAAGGGAGUUGGCCCAAAAGGAGGAGAGAAGCCCGAAGCCUAGCCGAAUCCCAGGAGGCCGAAGAGGCCCUUUUCUGACUAGGUGCAGACCAUGUGAACCACUUGCUCACCUACCCAAAGACCAAAUGGUAUAGACCAGCCAGCUAAUCAGCCCAAAAGUACUUUACAAUGACAGUACAAGUAAAUAGCUGAUGAGUCACUACCCUUCAAGAUGCAUUCGGGCAGGAUUACUGCUACAGGAGGCCAAGCCGAAGUGUCUAUAAAAGAAGAAAGAGAAAUCAGAGUUAAGGACACUCAAUCAAACAAACAAAUACAAGCACAAACUCUGCUCAAAACCCUUUGUGAUAGCUCUGCUACCUUGUCCUAAGCUUGCUGUAGUAUCGAUUUCUUUCUGUAAACUCAUCUCCCUACCCCCAUUUCUAAAAGCUCAAACCCCUUGAUAAACCACAAAGAUAGGAAAUUGCAAGACGAUUAGCCUUACCCGACAAGGUUAAACCUUGCCUGAACCUCUUUGUUUUUGUCUUGUCAUUCAUUAGCCUAGCAAUAUGUUGUAUACUUCCAGUUGUAUUCAAGUUAUUUCUCGUAAGAUGACUAUUAAAAGACUCUCUCAGUGCUGGAAUCCAAUUUGAAUAUGUCUUCACAGUUCAAACCAGAUCUAAGUUCUAAGCUCUCGGGCAUGUAAAAUUGAUCAUUUAAAAGUCCUUGGUCUCAAGGCAGAAAAAAAACCUUAUGUGGACUUAACCCAUCCACGACAAGCUUUGAUAACAAGAAGUCCGAAGUUACUUGGGGUGCAAGUAAUCGAUUUAUUUCUUAGUUUUAUUUCUAUUACAUUAUGAUUAUAGUAGAACGUUUGAGUAUAGAAGGAAUUCUGAUGGGAAGCCUCAAGGCCUAUAUCUGAGGCCAUACAAAGGCAUCUAUUUGUAUUCAUUCUGCUCUACGGGUUCAGAUAAUCAGAAGUAUAAUGGUUAUAACACUUCUGCAAACAAUAAAACAGGCAUCGUAUAUUCGAGUACUGGGUUAGUUCUUGAUCGGAAGCCUCAAGGCCUACAUCUAAGGCCCCACAAAGGCACCCGUCAUAACUAACACGGUCGCUCGGGUAUAUGUGCAACUAAAAUUCAACAUCCAUUUUACAUCGGCCAUGCUAAAGAUAGCAGUGGCACGCCUGAGCACUUAAAAGUUAAUCUUGAUUGUGAGCCUUAAGGCCUACACCUAAGGCCCCACAANNNNNNNNNNNNNNNNNNNNNNNNNNNNNNNNNNNNNNNNNNNNNNNNNNNNNNNNNNNNNNNNNNNNNNNNNNNNNNNNNNNNNNNNNNNNNNNNNNNNNNNNNNNNNNNNNNNNNNNNNNNNNNNNNNNNNNNNNNNNNNNNNNNNNNNNNNNNNNNNNNNNNNNNNNNNNNNNNNNNNNNNNNNNNNNNNNNNNNNNNNNNNNNNNNNNNNNNNNNNNNNNNNNNNNNNNNNNNNNNNNNNNNNNNNNNNNNNNNNNNNNNNNNNNNNNNNNNNNNNNNNNNNNNNNNNNNNNNNNNNNNNNNNNNNNNNNNNNNNNNNNNNNNNNNNNNNNNNNNNNNNNNNNNNNNNNNNNNNNNNNNNNNNNNNNNNNNNNNNNNNNNNNNNNNNNNNNNNNNNNNNNNNNNNNNNNNNNNNNNNNNNNNNNNNNNNNNNNNNNNNNNNNNNNNNNNNNNNNNNNNNNNNNNNNNNNNNNNNNNNNNNNNNNNNNNNNNNNNNNUGGAAGAGGUGAAUGUCGGUUAACCUUACGCCCAUUUUAUGGAGAGGCUGCUCCCAAGUCUCGAACCCGAGACCUACCGCUCAUGAACCAGAAAUAGUAUGCAUAUCAUUAUUUAAUCGAGUCUUGGUAAACCUGAAGUCAUUUGGAAAAACAUAUUGCAAACCUAUUAAUGCCCCAUUUACGUGAGUAACUAACAUGUUCCAAAGCUACUUCCAUAUGAAUGCUUAACAAAAAAACAAACUUAUCUUGAACGCACUAAAAAUGUUUGAUAUCAUUGCAUCUCAUUAAUAUGGUUGUCCAAGAAUGAUAAUGUUUUGUUAUUUAUUGAGAUCACCAUUUCAUUCACUCUUCAUUCACAUUCUAUCAAACAAUUGGAAGACAUGGAUGGAACCAACUCUAAUCUUAAAAAUAGCAACAUCAAGGUAUCCAUGAAUAUACACUAAAGCUCGGAAGAUCGACACUCAAAGUAUCCAUAAACGUUCACCGAAGUUCGAAGGGUUAGCUGACCCCCUACCCCUCAAUGCAUCCGCCACUACUGUCAACCAAGUCGGAAACGAAGAUGUCAUUAAAUCUGUGCCACCACUUGCUGCAUCCAAUGGUUUCCAACUAGAAACUCCCUUCCCGGAAUGGCACCGCCGUGGUGUCCUCAGUGUCAGUGGCAUCCUUAAAUCUUGACAAAAAUGUUGAGAUAUUGGUAUCUCAACAUUGCUCUGUUUUCUAGGUCCGGCGACCAAUCAGAGGCGCCUAACGGAACCGGCAUAGGCUCGAACAGAACCUCAAAGAGGCAGAGAAAUUAUGCAGUACCUCAUCUCAAUCUGUUUAAACUUUAAAAUGCUGACACACGGAACAAAGUAUAUGGUGUAAUUCCAAACACACUCAUAUUACGAACUCUGUUUGAUUACGUUCGUAAAAUGCUCGGUUAUUCGAGUUAUUUGUUCCGUUGAUUCGCGUUUUUGAAGCCAAUUUUAUGAUAACAUAAACAAAAAUGGAAAUAAAACACAUAAUAUGCUUCAUUGAUCUGAAAAACCAACAAGCUUAUAAUACCACAACACAAACAUAACAAACACAUCCAGAAUACACCAACGAAGCCCUAAAAUCCACACACAAACCCUUAUGUUAUAAUCCCUGCACGAUUAUUCUCAUAACCCAAAUCACAGAAACAGUUUCAAGCAAUCUUGACCUCGAUUGUCUUCGGCUUCUUCGGCUCCGGCGGCGGCAGCUUCUGCACUGUGACAGUCAAAAACCCCAUCCUGGCAAACAGCAGAAAUCGCAUCCACAUUAGCAUUCUCCGGCAACACAAACUUCCUCAUGAACUUGCCGACCCUCCGCUCCAUCCUCACGUACUUAGCCCCUUCCUUCUCCUCCUCCCGCUUCCUCUCGCCGCUGAUCAGAAGCACAUUGUCGUCCUCCACCUGGACCUUGAUGUCCCCGGACUUCAGUCCCGGCAUGUCCACCACGAACACGUAGGAGGUCGGGUACUCCUUGACGUCUGCCGGCGUGGAGGCCAUGGCCUUGGCGUCGCGGAAGUAGGUCCGGGUGGGGGCGUUGAAGGAUUUCUCGGCGUCGUCGGCGGCGUCGAUGAUGUGCUGAAGUGUGGAGAAGAGCGGGGCAUCCAAACCCUGGAUUCUGACAUCCAUUCUUCCCUUCUUGGUGGGUGGAAUUUUUGCUUUUCGGUUUUGAUUUGAAGGCUUUUGUGAGUUUUCGAGUGGGAAUCUCGUCGCUGUUACGGAGGGGAGUAGUGGUUGUGGGUAUUUAUAGGAGGAGUUGAGGGAGGACGGGGGUUAGCGGGGAGGGAAAAUGAAUGUUCUGGAGAAACGUGGAAGGAAGGGAGGAGGUUCCAGUAGGUCCCAUUUCUUCUGUGAGCGUCUAGAACAUUCUGGAAGCGUUUACUAGGUAGGGGCAGGGCCCCUAUAGCCAUUUAUGAGAUAUUUUGUUGGGAAAGAACCAAAAAGCUAAAAUAGAUAACAGUACUAAAUUAAAAGAUAAUCACCAAAAAGCAAAAGAGAAAAAUGUGACGAAGAUAAUCGUGCACUUAAUUUUGUUAUGUGAAGAAACAAACGAAAAUUAAUUCGAUAAAUCGACGGCUAGAGGUAUUCUCCCUGUUUGGUUCAAUCAUUUAGGGCACUUUUCAAAUUACAUAGAUAAUGAGUUAAAUGACUAGUUUGAUUAACAUUUCAUAAAUAAUAUAACAAUGGUCAAUCUACUGGGACGAACACUUCAUAAAUAAUGUAACAAUGGUCAAUCUAAUGAUAUUCUUGGUGACGAAUUGAGAAUAUAUUAAAUAUGAGCCACCAAAAGACAAGUAAAUUCCUAGUAGCACCACUUUUUAAAUUAUUAAAUAAUAUUAUUAUUAGAAAAAAAAGUAAACUCUAAAAUAAGGUUAUCAAUUGGUACACAAAUAAGAGCUCGUUUUGAUGUGCUUUUAAAAUAAUUGAAAAUACUUUUAAAGAAAAUAUUUGUAGGUUCCAAAAGCACUUAAGUGUUUUCUACAAAAAUAACCAUUUAUGUGCUUCUUUCAAGAAGCACUUUAUGUGCUUUUCUAAGAUUUACUACUAUUUUUACUAAGGAUUGUUUCCAAAAAAUAUUUUCACUAAAAGCGCUUUCAGUCAUUUUAAAAACAUAUCCAAACGAAUCCCAAGUUAUUAAAAAUGCUGGUUUUAUAUCCAAAUUGGAAGAUUACAAUAUAUAUCUGAAGUCAAGACGGCACCCACCUUCCUUUCCUUCUUUUUCUUUUUAUAUGAAAGACCAAAAUGAAAAACAGAAACAAAGCAUACAAAUUUACAGCAAACACAGAAAACCAAAUAGGCCAACAACAACAAAACAACAACAACAAAGCCUUUUCCCACUAAGUGGGGUCGGCUAUAUGAAUCCUAGAACGCCAUUGCGCUCGGUUUUGUGUCAUGUCCUCCGUUAGAUCCAAGUACUCUAAGUCUUUUCUUAGAGUCUCUUCCAAAGUUUUCCUAGGUCUUCCUCUAUCCCUUCGGCCCUGAACAUCUGUCCCGUAGUCACAUCUUCGAACCGGAGCGUCAGUCGGCCUUCUUUGCACAUGUCCAAAUCACCGGAGCCGAUUUUCUCUCAUCUUUCCUACAAUUUCGGCUACUCCUACUUUACCUCGGAUAUCCUCAUUCCCAAUCUUAUCCUUUCUCGUGUGCCCACACAUCCCACAAAGCAUCCUUAUCUCCGCUACACCCAUUUUGUGUACGUGUUGAUGUUUCACCGCCCAACAUUCUGUGCCAUACAACAUCGCUGGCCUUAUUGCUGUCCUAUAAAAUUUUCCCUUGAGCUUCAGUGGCCUACGACAGUCACACAACACGCCGGAUGCACUCUUACACUUCAUCCAUCCAGCUCGUAUUCUAUGGUUGAGAUCUCCAUCUAAUUCUCCGUUCUCUUGCAAGAUAGAUCCUAGGUAGCGAAAACGGUCGCUUUUUGUGAUCUUCGCUAGAUUGCUCCGGUCAUUAGUGUGGAUAAGUAUAUAAAUGGAUAGAGAUAGGAAAGCAAACACAAGAUGUACGUGCUUCACCCAGAUUGGCUACGUCCACGUAAUAGAAGAGUUCUCAUUAAUUGUGAAGGGUUUACACAAGUACAUAGGUUCAAACUCUCCUUUAGUGAGUACAAGUGAAUGAUUUAGUACAAAUGACAUUAGGAAAUAUUGUGGGAGAAUGAUCUCGUAAUCACGAAACUUCUAAGUAUCGGAGUGUGGUGUCGUCUUGACUUGCCUUAUCUGUCUCAUAGGUAGAUGUGGCAUCUUCUCUGGAAGUACUCUUCCUCCAUCCAGGGGUGGUAUCUUUAACUGGUGGAGAUGCACAAGGUAAUGUAUCAAUUUCACUUGAAGCUUACUUGUAGUUUCAGGCUUGGUCAAGCGCGAUACAAACCAUGUAGUAGGAGUCCCCCAAGUCGCCGAGCUAGGGGGUCUGCUGAAAGAGGUGACAGACAAGGUAAGCAAUCAGAGCUCCGACUAAUUGUUCACCUUCUCCCCAUCUUGCAGCAGCAUGAAGGAUAAAGAGAAGAAAAAUGAGAAGAGAUGAUAUGAGAUACUUUUGCUUUUGAAGAAGUAACUUUCCACAGGCUUAUUCUUAAACUGAGCUGGAGGGUUUUCUGGUUUCCUCCAGAGUAUAAGGCCGACUGAAGAAUUUGAGGGUCAAAACAAGUCCAUCAAAUCUAGAGUACGUUCCACCCUGCUGAUAUGGGAUACUUUUGCUUUUGACAGAGUAAUGGAUGUAUCGGCACGUGUGCUGUUACGCUUGUCUCCACAUGCUUCCUUGUAUCCUUCGCACUUGCCCUAUCUGUUCCUCAAGCAGAUGCGGAAUCUUCCCUGGAAACAUAAGAUGUUGAAGAUGAGUACUCGAGAGCAAUGCCAGGUAAGUAAUCAGGUAAGGGGUUCCAGGCAGUCAGUUCCUGGCUGGAAGCUUGAUUCCAAGUGCUGACUGAUUGCUCUCUUUCUCCUUGUCUUGCAGGUAAAAAACAAGGCCAAAGGAAAAGACAGGGAAAAAGCAUGAUAUGGGAUACUCUUGCUUUUAACCCUGAUGAUAUGAGAUAUUCUUGCUCUAGUAUAGCUUGUUUGCAGAGGUAUUAUCGGGGGGAAAGAAAGCUGAAUAUUUCGAAAGGCUUCGUUGGGAGUGCCCUCUCAGAUAUGAUGAAGGGUUGAGCAUUUUUGCAAGUCUGCCUGUCCGUUGGGGAUGGAGGUCGACAUAUAUAGGAGUCUCCCUAACAACAAGUAGUAAUGCUAUUCCUUUACCCUGCUUGGUCAUAGCACGGUAGUGGGAGCUGCCAGUUUCACAUGUUUUAACUCUGUCAGAGCACUUUGAAAAAGUGGUCUGUGGUAUCUGGCUCUCGAGAUUCGAAGAACGAUGCCUCUUCGAUUUUUGAGAAAGCAAUCAUGCUGGGGGUCUAGCUCUCGAGAUUCGGAGAGCAGUGUCUCUUCGAUUUUUGAGGAAGUAAUCAUGUUAGGAGUCUGGCUCUCGAGAUUCGGAGGGCGGUGCCUCUUCGAUUUUGGAGCAAGCAAUCUUGUUGGGAGUGUUGUCUCGAAUGUGAGUAAAGGUUGGGCAUGUUUGCUAGUCUACCUUGCCCCGAAGCACAAAGGUUGACACACAGGGACUUUCCAAUUAUCCUAGCAAUGGUACUGUUCCUUUACCCUCUCUUCGCUUUUGAGAAAGUAGUCAUGUUGGGAGUCUGGCUCUCGAGAUUCGGAGGACGGUGCCUCUUCGAUUUUGGAGCAAGCAAUCUUGUUGGGAGUGUUUUCUCGAAUGUGAGUAAAGGUUGGGCAUGUUUGCUAGUCUACCUUGCCACGAAGCACAGAGGUUGACACACAGGGAACUUUCCAAUUAUCCAGCAGUGGUACUGUUCCUUUACCCUUGUGGGUAAUAAUAUGGUAGCUAGACCUUCAAAAUUUAUGUGUCUAAACUUUGUUAGUGCUGUUUCUUUGCUAUUCUUUUACCUUUCUUGGUCAGAGCGAUGUAGUGGGAGCUGCAAGCUUCACGUGCUCAACUUUGGCAGAGAACUUUGGCAAAGUUAUCUGUGGUACCCAUGAGCUAUUGUUGCGUGUGGGAAGUGGGUGAUUGAACAGUAAGAUUCAUGUGCUUUCUACUUCACCAGAAGUCUUCGACAGAAUGCCCAUAAUUUCUGCAAAGCUGAGUGUGCGUGUGACAGGUGCUGACAAGGCUAGAAAAGUAGGUGCCUCUUCGAUUUCUGAGAUCGGCCCUCGUGGUCUCUGAGCAGCCCAGCUUUUGAGAAAGCGAGCGCCUCUUCGAUUGAUUCGGAGAACGAUGCCUCAUCGAUUUUUGAGAAAGCAAUCAUGCUGGGGGUCUGGCUCUCGAAGAUUCGGGGAGCAGUGUCUCUUCGAUUUUUGAGAAAGUAAUCAUGUUGGGAGUCUGGCUCUCGAGAUUCGGAGGGCGGUGCCUCUUCGAUUUUGGAGCAAGCAAUCUUGUUGGGAGUGUUUUCUCGAAUGUGAGUAAAGGUUGGGCAUGUUUGCUAGUCUACCUUGCUACGAAGCACAGAGGUUGACACACAGGGACUUUCCAAUUAUCCAGCAAUGGUACUGUUCCUUUACCCUCUCUUCGAUUUUUAAGAAAGUAGUCAUGUUGGGAGUCUGGCUCUCGAGAUUCGGAGGACGGUGCCUCUUCGAUUUUGGAGCAAGCAAUCUUAUUGGGAGUGUUUUCUCGAAUGUGAGUAAAGGUUGGGCAUGUUUGCUAGUCUACCUUGCCACGAAGCACAGAGGUUGACACACAGGGACUUUCCAAUUAUCCAGCAGUGGUACUGUUCCUUUACCCUUGUGGGUAAUAAUAUGGUAGCUAGACCUUCAAAAUUUAUGGGUCUAAACUUUGUUAGUGCUGUUUCUUUGCUAUUCUUUUACCCUUCUUGGUCAGAGCGAUGUAGUGGGAGCUGCAAGCUUCACGUGCUCAACUUUGGCAGAGAACUUUGGCAAAGUUAUCUGUGGUACCCAUGAGCUAUUGUUGCGUGUGGGAAGUGGGUGAUUGAACAGUAAGAUUCAUGUGUUUUCUACUUCACCAGAAGUCUUCGACAGAAUGCCCAUAAUUUCCGCAAAGCUGAGUGUGCGUGUGACAGGUGCUGACAAGGCUGGAAAAGUAGGUGCCUCUUCGAUUUCUGAGAUCGGCCCUCGUGGUCUCUAGGGAGCCCAGCUUUUGAGAAAGCGAGCGCCUCUUCGAUUUCUGAGAUCGGACCUUGUGGUCUUUGAGCAGCCCAACUUUUGAGAAAGCAAACGCCUCUUCGAUUUCUGAGAUCAACCCUCGUGAUCUCUAAGCAGCCCAGCUUUUGAGAAAGCAAACGCCUCUUCGAUUUCUGAGUAGGCGCCUCUUCGAUUUCUGAAGCUCCGUCGAGUGCAGAUUUUUAUAGGGGCUGGCAUUAAGUUCCAAAGCACACUUGAAUCUCCACCAGUAGAAGCUUCAUUCUUGCACUUCUAAGAUCUUGAUUUGUCCGACCUCUUCUCUCUUCAACACCUUUGAAAAUGUCUGGCCCCUCCGACCGUCGUUUUGACUUGAACCUUGUUGAAGAGGCAGCCCCGCCUUCUCCAGACAACAUAUGGCGCCCAUCCUUCGUCUCCCCUACUGGUCCUCUUACCGUUGGGGAUUCCGUGAUGAAGAAUGAUAUGACCGCUGCGGUGGUGGCCAGGAACCUUCUCACUCCCAAAGAUAACAGACUACUUUCCAAACGGUCUGAUGAGUUAGCUGUUAAGGAUUCGCUGGCUCUCAGUGUUCAGUGUGCAGGUUCUGUGUCUAAUAUGGCCCAACGCCUAUUUGCUCGAACCCGCCAAGUUGAAUCAUUGGCGGCUGAAGUGAUGAGUCUCAAACAGGAGAUUAGAGGGCUCAAGCAUGAGAAUAAACAGUUGCACCGGCUCGCACAUGACUAUGCUACAAACAUGAAGAGGAAGCUUGACCAGAUGAAGGAAACUGAUGGUCAGGUUUUACUUGAUCAUCAGAGAUUUGUGGGUUUGUUCCAAAGGCAUUUAUUGCCUUCGUCUUCUGGGGCUGUACCGCGUAAUGAAGCUCCAAAUGAUCAACCUCUGAUGCCUCCAUCCUUCUAGGGUUCUGUCCAGUACUGAGGACUCCAAAUGAUCCCCCUCCGGUGCCUUCUCUUUCUGGGGCUCUACCGACUGCUGAGACUUCUCCUAAGCAACCUUUGUGAAGGCUCCCUCUUGUGUGUUUAUUUUGACUCAUGUAUAUGUACAUAUUUGUAGCUUAUCGGGGAUAUCAAUAAAUAAGCUUUCCUUCAUUUCAACGUAUUGUGUUAAAUACACCAAAGCCUUCUUCGCUAAGUUCUUUGAAUUUUCUUUUGUUGAAGCUUGUAUGUUGAAGCUUUCUGAGUGGAGCAUGUAGGUUGGGGUAGUGUUCCCUUAAUUUCCGAGUGAGUGAGGAAAACUUCUCGGUUGGAGACUUGGAAAAUCCAAGUCACUGAGUGGGAUCGGCUAUAUGAAUCUUAGAACGCCAUUGUGCUCGAUCCUGUGUCAUGUCCUUCGUUAGAUCCAAGUACUCUAAGUCUUUUCUUAGAGUCUCUUCCAAAGUUUUCCUAGGUCUUCCUCUACCCCUUCGGCCCUGAACCUCUGUCCCAUAGUCGCAUCUUCUAAUCGGAGCGUCAGUAGGCCUUCUUUGCACAUGUCCAAACCACCGUAACCGAUUUUCUCUCAUCUUUCCUUCAAUUUCGGCUACUCCUACUUUACCCCGGAUAUCCUCAUUCCUAAUCUUAUCCUUUCUCGUGUGCCCACACAUCCAACGAAGCAUCCUCAUCUCCGCUACACCCAUUUUGUGUACGUGUUGAUGUUUCACCGCCCAACAUUCUGUGCCAUACAGCAUCGCCGGCCUUAUUGCCGUCCUAUAAAAUUUUCCCUUGAGCUUCAGUGGCAUACGGCGGUCACACAACACGCCGGAUGCACUCUUCCACUUCAUUCAUCCAGCUUGUAUUCUAUGGUUGAGAUCUCCAUCUAAUUCUCCGUUCUUUUGCAAGAUAGAUCCUAGGUAACGAAAACGGUCGCUCUUUGGUAUUUCUUGAUCUCCGAUCCUCACCCCUAACUCGUUUUGGCCUCCAUUUGCACUGAACUUGCACUCCAUAUAUUCUGUCUUUGAUCGGCUUAGGCGAAGACCUUUAGAUUCCAACACUUCUCUCCAAAGGUUAAGCUUUGCAUUUACCCCUUCUUGAGUUUCAUCUAUCAACACUAUAUCGUCUGCGAAAAGCAUACACCAAAGGAAUAUCAUCUUGAAUAUGUCCUGUUAACUCAUCCAUUACCAACGCAAAAAGGUAAGGACUUAAGGAUGAGCCUUGAUGUAAUCCUACAGUUAUGGGAAAGCUUUCGGUUUGUCCUUCAUGAGUUCUUACGGCAGUCUUUGCUCCUUCAUACAUAUCCUUUAUAGCUUGGAUAUAUGCUACUCGUACUCCAUUUCUUCUCUAAAAUCCUCCAAAGAAUGUCUCUUGGGACCCUAUCAUACGCUUUUUCCAAAUCUAUAAAGACCAUGUGUAAAUCCUUUUUCCCAUCUCUAUAUCUUUCCAUCAAUCUUCGUAAGAGAUAGAUUGCCUCCAUGGUUGAGCGCCCUGGCAUGAACCCGAAUUGGUUGUCCGAAACCCGUGUCUCUUGCCUCAAUCUAUGCUCAAUGACUCUCUCCCAGAGCUUCAUUGUAUGACUCAUUAGCUUAAUACCCCUAUAGUUCAUGCAAUUUUGUACGUCGCCCUUAUUCUUGUAGAUAGGCACCAAAGUGCUCGUUCGCCACUCAUUUGGCAUCUUCUUCGUUUUCAAAAUCCUAUUGAAAAGGUCAGUGAGCCAUGUUAUACCUGUCUCUCCCAAAAGUUUCCACACUUCGAUUGGUAUAUUGUCUGGGCCUAUUGCUUUUUUAUGCUUCAUCUUCUUCAAAGCUACAACCACUUCUUCCUUCCGGAUUCGACGAUAAAAAGAGUAGUUUCUACACUCUUCUGAGUUACUCAACUCCCCUAAAGAAGCACUCAUUUCAUGUCCUUCAUUGAAAAGAUUAUGAAAAUAACCUCUCCAUCUGUCUUUAACCGCGUUCUCUGUAGCAAGAACCUUUCCAUCCUCAUCCUUGAUGCACCUCACUUGGUUUAGGUCCCUUGUCUUCUUUUCCCUUGCUCUAGAUAGUUUAUAGAUAUCCAACUCUCCUUCUUUGGUAUCUAGUCGUUUAUACAUAUCGUCGUAAGCCGCUAACUUAGCUUCUCUGACAGCUUUCUUCGCCUCUUGCUUCGCUUUUCUAUACCUUUCACCAUUUUCAUCGGUCCUCUCCUUGUAUAAGGCUUUACAACAUUCCUUCUUAGCCUUCACCUUUGUUUGUACCUCCUCAUUCCACCACCAAGAUUCCUUUUGGUGUGGGGCAAAGCCCUUUGGACUCUCCUAAUACCUCUUUUGCUACUUUUCGGAUACAACUAGCCAUGGAAUCCCACAUUUGGCUAGCUUCCCCCUCUCUAUCCCCACACACAUUGGGUGAUUACCUUCUCUUUGAAAAUGACUUGUUUUUCUUCUUUUAGAUUCCACCAUCUAGUCCUUGGGCACUUCCAAGUCUUGUUCUUUUGUCUUACUCUUUUGAUAUGUACAUCCAUCACCAACAAGCGAUGUUGAUUAGCCACGCUCUCUCCUGGUAUAACUUUGCAAUCCUUACAAGUUAUACGAUCCCCUUUCCUCAUUAGAAGAAAAUCUAUUUGUGUUUUUUACGACCCACUCUUGUAGGUGAUCACAUGUUCUUCUCUCUUCUUAAAGAAGGUGUUGGCUAAGAAGAGAUCAUAUGCCAUUGCAAAAUCCAAGAUAGCUUCCCCAUCCUCGUUUCUCUCCCCAAAAUCAUGGCCACCAUGAAAACCUCCAUAGUUGCCUGUCUCCCUGCCCACGUGUCCAUUUAAAUCUCCUCCUAUAAAAAUAACUUCUCCGUCUGAGCAAUUCCUUGCACCAAGUCUCCAAGAUCUUCCCAAAAUUUCUCCUUCGAACUCGUAUCCAACCCUACUUGAGGUGCGUACGCACUAAUCACAUUGAUAAGUUCUUGUCCUAUUACAAUCUUGAUUGCCAUGAUUCUAUCUCCUACCCUCUUGACAUCUACAACAUCUUGUACCAAGGUCUUGUCCACGAUGAUGCCAACACCAUUUCUCGUUCUAUUUGUGCCCGAAUACCAAAGUUUAAACCCUGAGUUUUCUAGAUCCUUUGCCUUACUACCAACCCACUUAGUUUCUUGUAGGCACAUAAUAUUUAUCCUUCUCCUCACCAUAACUUCCACUACUUCCAUAGAUUUUCCCGUUAAGGUUCCUAUAUUCCACGUUCCUAAACGCAUUUUGCUCUCUUGAACUCUACACUUCUGUCCUAGCUUCUUCACCCUCCCCCGUCUAAUAGGAUCAAAGUACUUCUUUUGUGUGUCCCGGGUAAAGUUGAUAGGAGCAUAUGCUCCCAAACAACUUUGAGUGGAGUCGUUCGAAAAGAAGUUUCUAUGGCCCCCUUGCUCAUUUAACACUGCAUCCGGGUGCCGAUGGAGAUACAGCGACCCUUGCUCGCUUAUCACUGUGCUCGGGCCACACAGCGCGCCACUUACGGGUGACGCCCUAGCUUUAACGCGAUUUUGUUCUGGAUUCAUUUUCAUAAGGAUUCGACGUGAUCAUGGAGUGCCGGCUGUCGACUACCUGACGCCCUCCCCCUCCUCCUUUAUCCGGGCUUGGGACCGGCCAUGUAAGACAUAGGCGGAGUUGAAAACCAAAUAGGCCAAAUUGAAUUAUUCAUCCUUGUGGUCAUAGGAAACUUGCAUGAUGACCCCGUGAUGAAAAAAUUAGGAAUUAAACCCCUGUGGUCAAGAAUGUUAGAAAAUUUAGUCCAAAAGUAAGAUUUCUGUUAAAUGACUGUUAAAAGUAUGGGUAAAACUGUAUUUUCAGUUCCAAUUGACAUUUAAAAUAAAUAUUUUUUAUAACAAUUAACAAAAAAAAUAAUGCUUAAUUUUUUAAAUAAAAAAAAGCCCCAAUUCAAUGUCAAUUGAAACUGAAAAUACAGUUUUACUCCAACUUUUAAGUUUUAACAGUCCUUUAACAGAAAUCUUACUUUUGGACUAGAUUUGCUAACAUUUUAGACCAUCGGGAUUUAAUUCCUAGUUUUUUCACCAUAGGGGUCAUCAUGCAAGUGUCCUAUGACCAUGGGAUGAACAAUUCAAUUUGGCCAACCAAAUAACACGAUGCAUAUAUACUUCAUCGACAAAUAUAUAUAUACCGCCACCGCUACUCAGUAGUAUCCUCAUGUACACUGAUCAUGCACUGCCAUCAGAGCAAGCCGAUCUCUGCCUGCUUGUCAAGCCCUUCAACUUUGCCAUUCAUACCCACCGGCACCACGUUCCCCACCGCCCUGUCCACCUUGCCAACCACAUUCCUCUUGGCCACCUUCUUCCCAGCCUUGACCACCUUUGCCUCCCUAGCCACCGCCUUCCCUACCACGUUCCUCUUGGCCACCUUCUUCGGAUUAUACUCGGAUUAUUUCAACAAUAUAAAUUAAUGCAUACUGCUUUUGCCAGUUCCGGAAGUGGAGAGAGCUGUUUACAGCACAUGCUCUGUUGAAGGAUCCAGAAAAUAAUAUUAGGAGGAUCAGUAAGAAUAAUACGCAAUAUUUUUUACCAAAAAUAGCAUGCAUAUCGCUAUUUCAUCGAGUCUUAGGUCGUCUAAGAUCAUUUAGAAAUGAAUGCCCCCUCAUUUACGAGAGUAACUAACAUCUUCUAAGACUGCUCCCAUAUAAAUGCUUAACAAAAAAACACACUAACAAUGUUUGAUACCAUUACAUCCCAUUAAUAUAUUUAUCUAAGAAUAAUGAUGUUUUGUUAUUCACUGAGAUGAUCAUUUCAUUCACUCUUCUUUCAGACAUUUUAUCAAAUAGUUAGAGAGCAUGAAUGAAGCCAACUUUAAUCUUCAAAAAGGCACACUGAAAUUCGAAGCAUCAGCACCUAAGAUGUACCCAUGAACGUUCAUCGAAGUUGGAGAGGUCAGCUGACCCCUGUGCAUCCGCCACUGCUGUGAACUAAGUCGGAAACGAAGAUGUCAUUAAAUCUGUGCCACCACUUGCCGCAUCCAAUGGUUUCCAACUAGAAACUCCCUUCCCGGAAUGGCACGGCCGUGGUGUCCCCAGUGUCGAGGGCGGUAAGUGGCAUGCUUAAAUCUUGACAAAAUGUUGAGAUAUUGGUAUCUCAACAUUGCUCUGUUUUCUAGGUCCGGCGAUGAAUCAGAAGCGCCUAACGGAACCGGCAUAGGCUCAAAACAGAACCUCGAAGAGGCUGAGGAAUUACGCAGUGCCUCAUCCCAAUCUGUUUAAAAUGCUAACACACGGAACAACGUAUAUGGCGUAAUUCCAAACACACAUAUUACGAACUUUGUUUGAUUACGUUCGUAAAAUGCUCGGUUAUUCGAGUUAUUUGUUCCGUUGAUUCGCGUUUUUGAAGCCAAUUUUAUGAUAACAUAAACAAAAAUGGAAAUAAAACACAUAAUAUGCUUCAUUGAUCUGAAAAACCAACAAGCUUAUAAUACCACAACACAAACAUAACAAACACAUCCAGAAAACACCAACGAAGCCCUAAAAUCCACACACAAACCCUUAUGUUAUAAUCCCUGCACGAUUAUUCUCAUAACCCAAAUCACAGAAACAGUUUCAAGCAAUCUUGACCUCGAUUGUCUUCGGCUUCUUCGGCUCCGGCGGCGGCAGCUUCUGCACCGUGACAGUCAAAACCCCAUCCUGGCAAACAGCAGAAAUCGCAUCCACGUUCGCGUUCUCCGGCAACACAAACUUCCUCAUGAACUUGCCGACCCUCCGCUCCAUCCUCACGUACUUAGCCCCUUCCUUCUCCUCCUCCCGCUUCCUCUCGCCGCUGAUCAGAAGCACAUUGUCGUCCUCCACCUGGACCUUGAUGUCCCCGGACUUCAGUCCCGGCAUGUCCACCUCGAACACGUAGGAGGUCGGGUACUCCUUGACGUCUGCCGGCGUGGAGGCCAUGGCCUUGGCGUCACGGACGUAGGUCCGGGUGGGGGCGUUGAAGGAUUUCUCGGCGUCGUCGGCGGCGGCGUCCAUGAUGUGCUGAAGUGUGGAGAAGAGCUGGGCUUCCAAACCGGGGUUUCUGAUGUCCAUUCUUCGCUUCUUGGUGGGUGGAAUUUUCGCUUUUCGGUUUCGAUUUGAAGGCUUCCGUGAAUUUUCAGUGGGAAUCUGGUCGUUUUGGAGGGGAGUGGUGGUUAUGGGUAUUUAUAGGAGGAAGAUUUGAGGGAAGACGUGGGUUAGCGGGGAGGGACAAAGGAAUGUUCUGGAGAAACGUGGAAGGAAGGGAGGAGGUUCCAGUAGGUUCGCUUAAUUUCUUCUGUGAGCGUCUAGAACAUUAUGGAAGCGUUUACUAGAGGCGGCCUCUUUAGCCAUUUACGAGAUAUUUUGUUGAGAAAGAGUCAAAAAGUUAAAAUAGAUAACAGUACUAAAUUAAAAGAUAAUCCCAAAUAAAAAACAGAAAUAUAUGAAGACGAUAAAAAACAAACGAAAAUUAAACUCGGCACCUGUGGUUAUGGUAUUUCAAAUUCAAAUUAAACAAUAACAAAAUAGUCACUCUAAUGGUACUCUCUGUGACAAAUCAUCGAAAUAUAAUAAAAAUGAGCCAACAAAAGACAAGUAACCACUAAAAUGUAGGUGAUCCAAUAUUCUAGUAUUCAAUUUGAAAAUACCUUUAAAUCAUUGUAAUAAUUCGAACCUAUCCCUCCUUUUAAUAAUACUAAAAAUAAAAACUCUAAAAUAAGUUCUCUAUUAAAAAGAUAUUUAUUUUAAAAAAAAUUUAUUUACAUUAAAAGAAAAAUAUGUGAUUAUCCUCACUGAGCUAUAAUUCAAAUUCAUUUUAACAAAAAUCAAAACCUAAGCUAUAAUUCAAAUUCAUCUUAACAAAAAUCAAAACCUAAGAUCUUUAGUUACAAAUGAAUUCGUCGUCGUACCCAGUGCACAAGACUCUCGCUUUACGCAGAAUCUAAAAGAGGUGAAUGUCGGCUAACCUUACACUCAUUUAUGAAGAGGCUGGUCCAAUACAAAUGAAUUCGUCUUAACAAAAAUCAAAAUAUAAGAUCUCUCGGUGAAGAUGACGGAACGGAACCCGAAUAAGCUCAAACAGAACCCCGAAGAGGCUGAGAAAUUAGGCAGUACCUCAUCUCAAUCUGUUUAAAAUGCUGAGACACGGAACAACGUAUAUGGCGUAAUUCCAGACACACUCAUAUUACAAACUCGGUUUGAUUAUCGUAAAAUGCUUGGUUAUUUGAGUUAUUUGUUCCGUUGGUACGCGUUUUUGAAGCCGAUUUUAUGAAAAGAUCAACAAAAAAUGGAAAGUAAAAACAGAGACUGAAAUAGGAAGUAAAGACAUAAUAUGCUUCAUUGAUCUGAAAAACCAACAAGCUUAUAAUACCACAACACAAACACAACAAACACUUCCAGAAAACACCAACGAAGCCCUGAAAUCCACACACAAACCCUUAUGUUAUAAUCCCUGCACGAUUUUUCUCAGAACCCAUAUCACAGAAACAGCACUCAAAAGUUUCAACCAAUCUUGACCUCGAUUGUCUUCGGCUUCUUCGGCUCCGGCGGCGGCAGCUUCUGCACUGUGACAGUCAAAACCCCAUCCUGGCAAACAGCAGAAAUCGCAUCCACGUUCGCAUUCUCCGGCAACACAAACUUCCUCAUGAACUUGCCGACCCUCCGCUCCAUCCUCACGUACUUAGCCCCUUCCUUCUCCUCCUCCCGCUUCCUCUCGCCGCUGAUCAGAAGCACAUUGCCGUCCUCCACCUGGACCUUGAUGUCCCCGGACUUCAGUCCCGGCAUGUCCACCACGAACACGUAGGAGGUCGGGUACUCCUUGACGUCUGCCGGCGUGGAGGCCAUGGCCUUAGCGUCGCGGACAUAGGUUCGGGUGGGGGCGUUGAAGGACUUCUCGGCGUCGUCGGCGGCGUCCAUGAUGUGCUGAAGUGUGGAGAAGAGCGGGGCUUCCAAACCGGGGAUUCUGAGGUCCAUUCUUCGCUUCUUGGUGGGUGGAAUUUUCGCUCUUUGGUUUCGAUUUGAAGGCUUUUGUGAAUUGUCGAGUGGAAAUCUGGUCACUGUUACGGAGGAUGGUGGUGGUUCUGGGUAUUUAUAGGAGGAGAAGUUGAUGACGUGGGUUAGCAGGAAGGGAAUAAGGAAGGUUCUGGAGACACGUGGAGGGAAAGUAGGAUGUUCCAGUAGGUUCCAUUUUGUUCUUCGGUGACCGUCUAGAACAUUUUGGAAGGUUUUACCAGAGGCGGGCCACUUUAGUCAUUUGCCAUAUUUUUUGUUGGGUAAGACGAGGACGGAAAAGCUAAACUAAAAAACAGUACUAAAUUAAAAGAUAUGAGCAGAUAAAAAUAGGUGAUUUUGAUAUCCUAAUAAAUAAGGUGAUGAAUUUUAACUAUGCGUAUCAGUUGAAAAAUAUUAAACUCUAAGGUGAUGAAUUUUAACUAUGCGUAUCAGUUGAAAAAUAUUAAACUCUAAAUUGGCAGACAAAAAACAAGUUAUUACGGAAACCAGUUUAAUAUUGUAAUUAAUUUCACAUAAUGGUUCUUUACAUUUCCAAAAAGGAAGAGCACAAUAUAUUAACCUUAAUAUAUCAAAGACAACACCAACCUUCCUUUCCUUCUUAUUCUUUUUUUUUUUUUUUUUUAUAUGAAAGACCAAAUUAAAAGAAAAACAUAACCAAAGUAUAAGAAAUUACAGCAGACACAAAAAACCAAAUAACACGAUGCUUAUAUGCUUUAUGCACAUAUAUACGUACUGCCACCGCUAUUCAAUAGUAGCCUCAUGUAAACAGAUCAUGCACUGCCAUUAGAGCGAGCGGACCUCUGCUUACUUGUCACGCCCUUCAACUUGUCCUUCAUACCCACCGGCACCACGCUCCCCACCGCUCUGCCCACCUUGCCUGCCAUGUUCCCCACCUUGCUCACCGCCUUGCCUACCACGUUCCUCUUGGCCACCUUCUUCCCAGCCUUGACCACCUUUGCCUCCCUGGCCACCGCCUUGGUCACCUUGCCCACGGCCUUGCCUACCAUGUUCCUUUUGGCCACCUUCUUCCCAACCUUGACCACCUUCGCCUCCCUGGCCACCACCUUGCCUGCCAUGUUCCCAACCUUGGCCACCUCCCUGCUUGCCACGUUCCUCUUCGCCACCUUCUUCCCAGCCUUGACCACCUUUGCCUCCCUGGCCGCCGCCUUGGUUGCUGCUUAUCUGGAUCUGAAUAGUCUUGGGCUUCUUCUGCUCUGGCGGCGGCUUCUUCGCAACUGUCACAGUCAGCACCCCAUCCUGACACUCGGCCGAAAUCCUCUCAAUAUCGGCGUUGUCCGGCAGCACAAACUUCUUGAGAUACUUCCCGAGCCUCCUCUCCAUCCUCAAGUACUUGAUCCCCUGAUCCCUCUCCUUCUCUUUCUUCCUCUCCCCGCUCACCACCAGCACGUUGUCCUCCUCAAUCUUCACAUUAAUCAUAUCCGGCCUCAGCCCUGGAACAUCCACCACGAAAACGUACGCAUCUUUAGUCUCCUUCACAUCUGCGGGUGUGGCAGCCAUGGCCUUCGCCUCCCGGACGUACCGGCGAGAGGGGGCCUGGUAGCUUUGUUGGUUCUGCUCGUCGGAGAUGUCGAGCAGGUCGUGCAGGGUCUCCAGCAGGUUGGGAUCGAAACCCAAGUUCCUCAGGCUCAUCACUUCCAUACCCACGACAAUGAAAACGAUGAUAUAGUAUUCUGUAAAUAAAUUUGGUGCGUUUUUGUUAGGGUUUCGGAGAGGUUAUAUAGAGAGGGAAAAUGUGAAGCGGUGGUGUUUGUGAUUAUAUCGAUAGGGUUUGUCCUGAUGCCCCUGCUACGUGGGGUUGAGAUGGAGGUUUGGGUGGUCUACGUGGCAUGCGUAGAUGGCUAGUACAAAAUUACAAAUGCAUGGGGAGAAGAUGUGGCAAGCCUACUCCGCUCACGUGGAGAUCUAUUUUUCUUCAUGGAAAUCCAAAGUUGAGAUAUAUUUGAGUUCCAAAGCAAUAUAGUUUCAGCUUCUGGCAUGUUCUGCGUCAUGGAAUAUGUUCUACAGACUACAGAACUCUACCAUAUGACCCUCAAUAAAAAAAAUAUGAACGUGUGCAGCUCAAAAUUUUUCACUUUUUUCAUUACGAAAAUUAGUCGAGCACUGCUAUCUCAUAUGUUCCAUAAAUUAAAGAACUGGUCGUUAUUUUCAAAAGAACAAUGACCAUAAUUAAGGAUGAUAUCUAAUCAUUUAUGACUCAUUUGAAAAUAUUUUUAAAACUAUUGAAAGUGUUAGAGAAUAGUUUUGAAUUCUAAAAGCAUUUAAAAAGCUUUCUAUAGAAAAGACCACACGUAUUAAAGAUGCUAUAUAAUCAUUUAAGGCUUAUUUAGAAAUACUUUUAAAAUAAUAUAAAUACUUUAAAAAAAAUUAGAUUCCAAAAACACUUAAAGUGUUUCCCACAUGAUUCACUUGCAUUUUAAAUACUUUUUCUAGAAUUCACUUGUAUUUGUAUCUUAACUAAGAAUUCAUUUAAAAAUAUUUUAACUCAAAUCGUUUUUAACCAUUUUAAAAAUAUUUUUCAACGAACUCUUCUAAUAUUAUAUAAAUUUCAAAAUUUUCUCAUAUUUUAUGAGGAAUGAAUUCCUGUUUUCUCGUUCUUUAAUAUAAGAAUAAAGUAGUAUUAUUUUAUUUCUUGUCACCCAGCGUCAAGUGCGUAUAUAACUUAUGUUCAGUCCGUAACUGAUGUCUUUCUGUUAAAUGUACGGUCAGGCCCGAUCCUAAGAAUUUGGGGCUAUAAACGAGCCUUUGAAGUGAAGCUUUAAAGUUCUUUGACUCUCAAUUCUCUAUACAUAGUCCUGAGAAUUUGAGGUUAUAGAUGAGCCUUUGAAGUAGAGCUCUAAAGUUCUUUGACUCUCGGUUCUUUAUACAUAGGUAUUAAAAUAAAAAAAUAAAAAUAAAAACAAACAAACCUUGCCAAAUACAAAAAAAAUUAUAUUUCUACAUCAAAUAUAAUUAAAAUUUGAUAUAAAAAAAAGAUAGAUAUACAAACAUUACUUAAAUAUUAUACGUCUCACAUUUUUAAAUGCAAAUGUACUAAAUAUUUGCAGUCAAGAGUAAAAAAUUGAGAGUGAAGAACAAUAAAACUUAAUUGAUGAGUAUAAUAAAUUCCUCUUGUGUUUUUUUUAACAUCAACAUCACACUAACGAAUCAAAUAUUAAAAUAACCGGAUUAUUGAUAAGCAAACUAUAAAUUUAAAGUUUUUAUUACCUUAGAGUACAAUCUUCAAGGCCAUGUGAUAGUUGAUUUAAACAUUUGAUAGAAAUAGAAUGUAUGUGAAGUUGAAAGAAAAAAAAAUUGCAAAGAGACUUAAGUUUUAUAAUUUUAUAUGCAUUUGAAAGAUGGAUUAGGAGUAAUUUGAAAGAAAAAAAUAUUAGUGACUAAAAAGAUAGCUCCAUAUUUCGAACUCAACACCUCAAAGAAUAAAAAAGUUGGCCUCCCAAAUUUUUGAUUCCCCAAAGAAACCUUAACUCAUCCCUCUCAAGCGUAGGAUUGCCAAUUCGAAUGGCAACCAUGACAAAUUUUCCCGUUUAGCUCAUUCUCUCUCUUCCUUUUAUUUUUCUAUCCAAAUCCUUCCCUCUCUUCCCUCCGCCUUUUUUUCCGUCCAAUCAUUGGGUGGUAAUCAGUACCGGGUUCUAAGAGUUUAAGUCACGGGGGUUGCGGUCAGUGAAGAACUACUUGCGACUGAAAUAGAGAAGACAAGAGAGCAGCGAGAUCUAGUCCUGGCUAAUACCAUACUUUUGGUGGGGAUUAGUUAGAGCCAAUUAGCGAGGUCCAGAGUCGAGGCGAGUUCGAGCUAGCGUCAUUAAAGCUAAGUCUUUGCUGAGUCAAACACUAGACUACACUAGCUAUUAGUCUAGUCCAAUCCAGUGAGAGCUAAGGAUAUCAAACAAACACAUCCUAAAAGGAUAAAACAAAAUUCAAGCAAAAAAUUACAGUAUAUGUAGCCUGAGAUUUCUGAUUUUUGCAGUUUGUGGAUUUGAUUCAAGCAAAAAGGGGGAUGAGAUUCAAGCAAAAAGGGAGGCGGAGGGAAUUUUUGGUUUUGGUGGAAAAGGAAGACUGUAGUUUGUGGAUUUGAUUUAAGCAAAAUGGGAAUGUGAUUCAAGCAAAAAUGGGAGGCAGAAGGAAUUUUUUUUAUGGUUUUGGUGGAAAAAGGAGGAGGGAAUACUAAAGGGAGAAAUUAUUAGAAAACUCUAAUGGCGUUAGGAAAGGUGGAAACCCAGCCAUCAAUUUUUAUUUAAUAAUUACUCUGCCACAUGUCAUUUAUUUAUUGGUGGUUACUACCAGCUGUUAGUACCACGUGGUGGUGCUGUGCCAUCUAAUAAUUUCUCCACAGUGAGGUAGCAGCUGUGGAGUGCUCUCAUAUCACAACAAUCCCUGAAAUGUCGUUCCUGAAACUAAGGUACUUUCUGCUACUUGAUGCUUGCUCAACGCUCAGCUUGUGUUUUGUAUGUAAAUAAGUUAGAGAUUUCCUUCAUUGAUCGCUUUUUGGAUUUUGAGUAUGUUCAGUUUAGUCUCCAAACUAUUAUGAAUUGAGGUAGAUUACGGAAAACAAUGGCAAAUAGGAUAAUAACAUAUUAAGAAACUAGCACUUUCGUAGAACUUAGUGAUGAACACUGUGCUUCGUCUUCGUGUAUGCAAUCUUGAAGUGAAUCCACAUCGAGUAGGAGAAUUAAUAAUUUUGUUUAUUUUCUUAUCCCAUAUGUUACAUUCUCUCGACACUGCACUGGACAACCCUAACAAAAAAUUUAAUUUUGACAAUUAUUAUGUGGAACACCAUGCUGCACUAGAUAUAAGUACUUAUUCAUGAAACUCAAUAUAAAUUUCACAAGAAGUUUUAGGCGUCUCUCUAAUCCCACUUUCUUAAGUGAUUCACAGAUUAAGUUUAGUUUUAUGUCACUUAGUGAUAAGACUCAAUUCUCAAUUCCCUUAAUCAACCUGCAAGUAGCACAAGAAAGCUAUGGAAGAAGAGGGAAGGAGAGAUGAAGGAGCAAAGCUCCAAAUAUUUUUGUAUUUAAUUUCUUUGUUGUAAAUUCUGAUCUGCCACAUUUGAGGGAGCUAGGCUCCUUUUAAACAGACUCUACUUUUUAAAACGCCAGCUGGCAUAUUUAACAAUUCUUAACAAUUCAAUUAAAGCAUAAACCUCAAUUACAUUUUGGGUUCAUAACAAUAUUCCCCCCUUGAAAAUUAGCCUUGUCCUCAAGGCUUAAAAAUGGAAUUGUGGAAGUCCUCCCAAUUACCUGCUGUCCUCAAAGCAACAAGAAGUUGAAUCUGCAGAAAGGCACUCAUUGGCAGAUUCCUCCCAAGCCUUCUUCGAGUCAAGCUCCUGAUCUUCCUUAAUCAACUUAAGGCAUGAAUUCCAAUAGAUAGGGAAAAGAUUGAUGAAUUCUCAUUCUGAAAAUCUAGCAUCUUCACUAUGCAAACAGAGAGACCUACAAGCUGCCAACCUUACAGAUAGGUCUUUGUCCUAUAGCAAUCUGAUCAAAGCACAGUAAACUAGCAUUUUUGUGUCCUUUUUAAUAUCAGAAACCCAUUGUCCCAAUAUCAGUGCAACUUCCCAGGGGGUGAUACGCAUAUUUGGAUGAUCAAUAUGAACCAAUAAUUCUAAACAUGGUAGUGAACCAACCAAAACAGAUGACUGCAAAGGUGUAAUACUGUCAUUAUUUUCAGCAACAAGAUUAGCAUUGUUUUGUAAUAGAACUUCCACUGCAUCUUGGUGACCAUGACCAACAUCCCAAAUUAAGGAACUUCCAGCGUCUCUUGGUGAAUUAACAUAAGCACCUUGGGGUUCAAACACCCCAGUCCUUUUGUCAACCAACUCUGCCAAUUCUAUGUUCCCAUAAAUCCUACAUGUAAAAAGCAGAGAUCCCCAUAUAACCACAUCAGGUUGAGUAGGCAUAUCUCUGAUGAACUUUUCAGCCACAUUUAACAGAUUAGCACGGUUAAGAAGAUCCACAAUGCAUCCAUAGUGUUCAAUACGAGGAUUGAGCUUAUGAUUUUCAAGAUCCAUGCUAUGUAUCCAUUUAUCAAUGAAUCGGAGCAACCAUGACAAACCUCGAAGAAAUGAUUCAGUAAUGCAUUCCAUCUGUAACAAGCUAUGAAUGUGUCCUGCAUAAAGCGCACCUGAAAUAGCUCCAUGUAGUAAUAAUCGAACCGGUUGUGCUUGAGAAAUCUGAGCCGUUGCUUUUAUCUCCUUUGUCUCCCUUAAUUGUUUUUUGAAAGCAUGUCAACAAAACUUUGACAGCAAGAUUUUAACCAUAUUUUUCUGACCUCAUCACCAGUAUUGCAUAGCAAUCUUAUGCAGAGGACCAUCCCGGCAUAAGAAUCAUUGUCAAUUGGAUGUGGAAGAACUGGAGAUUGUCCUAAUUGCAACAUAGAAACAACAAUCAACAGUGCUCGUGAAAAUGGUUUAUUCACUUCAACUUUUGAUGGUUGGACCCCUUCCAAUCUCAGGGCAAGCUUGAUCAGAGGGUAUGCAACAAUUGUCCCAAGGAAAAAGUCACAAGUGAGAAGCAGGGAUCUCAAGUUCCUAGAUGCCACAGAUCCUUGAAAAAGGGUAGGAGGAGAGAAAGCAAUUCCAGAUGCAGCAUGAUGUGUGGCAUAAGUUCCAUCAGCAAGAAUAGUAGGUCUUUUAAAAGACACAGUCAUGGAGUUUACUUGCUGAACCGUUUGUGAAGAAUCAUUACUUUCUUCUUCCGAAACCGAGAGAAAAGGCAAUUCGCUUAGGCACUGUUUAAUUGAUGCAGUUCCACCUUUAAAUUCAGGAAGUGACGUGCAACAUGCUGCAAAAAUCCAAAGGCCGGAAGAGCAAACCCGUGAUGCUCGGAUUUGGUAGAAAGUGUCUAAUAGCUUUGUUAUUAUAGAUACCUUUACUCUAGGGUUGGUUUCUAUUAUUACUUGGAUAAGAACAAUCAUAUCAACAAAAGAAGCAACAUUGCUGCCUCCUAAGAAUUCCAUCAACAGAUGUACCAAUGUGCUCGCCACUUCUGGGAACUUUAUUGCACAAUAGUGAAUAGCCUGAAUAAGCAUCUUCCUGUAUUCACCAUUCUUUUCUAGCUCUCCAGUAUGAGCCGUGACAACUUCCCUUUUCAAAAUAAGAACAAGCUCAUUGAUAUUUGUGCAAGUAACCAAGCUAAAAACAAUGUCUAGGGUCUUCCUCCUGAUGUCAAGAUUAUGACUAGAAAGUGCCCUCAGCAUAUCCAGGAACAUAUCAGCUACUACUUCUCUAUGAGAAGACUUUAGCUCAGUCAGCCGAUCAAGAACAAUAAGCUUCACAUUGUUGUCACUUUGAGAAGGAAGCAGCUGAUAAUAGGUAUUGGCAGCAGCUCUCCCCUGCUCUUCACAGUUUGUUCGACAUAAUUUUCGCAAGAACAAAAUGGUUUGUGGGAUUGAAUGGUUGUUGGAAGGAUCAGAUGGGAAGUAUUUAUUGGAAAACCUUUCCUUCAUCGACUCAGUUAUUGCCAUAUUGUUUUCUCUCCAUCUCUUAGGCAAUUCAUCAAACAGAUGCAAUGCAAACAAAUUCUUCUUCACAAAUUUACCCACAAGAUACCAAUUUAUCCAACCAUAUUUAUCAUUCCGAAAUGCACUAUAGUUAUCAGUUAAAAGAGAAGGAAAUAUAACGUCCAAAGUUGUUAUAAUGAAACGCAAAUAGAGAACUACCUCAGCUCCAGUUUUCGUAGUAUCAAAGAAGAAGUGUGUUCGGAGUAGCCACGGAGCAAAGGUCAUCGUCGAAGCAUGAAUAACUCUCUUCGAUUCCGGCAAAGAAACUAUGGCUGCAGCGGAAUCGUUCGAUUGUGGCUUGACGGCCGAAGUUGCCAGUGCGCGCAACAUCGGUGAAGAUGAGAGCAAUGGCGGAAUGAAAUGGUCGUGGAUUGUCGACGAAAUUCGCAGUGGGUUGUUGUCUCUGUUGUGAGGUUUUUGGUGACCGACCUCGAUUGAUUCAGCUUCCACGGAACACAUCGAGGCUAGAUCAAAAUCUCCCUCAACAUCGAGAGCCAAGUCACGGUGUAACUGAGCAAGGUCCCUGUGGAUUGCUGCGAGUACAGGAUUCACAGCCUUGUGAAUGGCAGUGAGUGCAGAAUCCAUAGCUUCGCGGAUCGCAUCACGGAUCGCAGCACGCAUCGAAGCUUCAAAUGAAUCGAUUGCAGCGGAGAGGCGUGCAUCCAUGGCAGGAAGACGGGUCGGGUGGGCGUGCACAAGAGGGAAACCAGGAUUCGAGAAGGAUGAUACCAUUGAUAAGACUCAAUUCUCAAUUCCCUUAAUCAACCUGCAAGUAGCACAAGAAAGCUAUGGAAGAAGAGGGCAGGAGAGAUGAAGGAGCAAAGCUCCAAAUAUUUUUGUAUUUAAUUUCUUUGUUGUAAAUUCUGAUCUGCCACGUUUGAGGGAGCUGGGCUCCUUUUAAACAGACUCUACUUUUUAAAACGCCAGCUGGCAUAUUUAACAAUUCUUAACAAUUCAAUUAAAGCAUAAACCUCAAUUACAUUUUGGGUUCAUAACAAUUAGUUGUGGGGAAGGGGUGGAGAGUAGACCAAUGUCUUUACACUUUGAUUUGUUCACUGAUUUCGACUGCAAAGGUAGUAGAAAAGGUAAUAAGCCUUCUACUAAAAUGUAGAGUCAAUCUUCUGCUAACAUGUCAGGGCAAGUCAAGAUUAAUGAAAAAGCAGUAGAAACUAUUGACGGGCAUCUUGAGCUAUCAUUCAUUUUCUAACCUUAAAAGUAAAUUCCUGGAAUAUGUAGUGGAAGGAGGGCAAGUAUUUGUGCGAAUCUGAAUAGUAUUUGUCAAAUAUUUGGAUGAAUGUCUUAUAUAUUGAUUGUUGUAAUGUUGAAAUGUUUCUACAUGCAAUAUAUCUUCAAAAUUCAAAACAACUAUUUAUUGAAAACAAUCAUAGGAAUCUGAAAAAAAGUAUGAAAUAUGGACUUGCCUUCAUUAUUGAACUAGGAAAGCGAAAAACAAAACAGGCGUUUGACGAACUGAUUGUGAUCUGACUCAGAUAUGUGAUGAUGACGAUGCCUCAGCGCCUUGAUCGUGCCUCACCAUAGAACUGAUCUGGGAUGAUGCUUACACUUGAAAUUUUUGCCUUUUUCCAUUUCUGUAAUCUGUAGUAAUUAUCAUUUGAUUACUGGGAUGAUUAUUAGCAGAUGCGUCAUGGCUUGGUCCUACCGAACCGAGCUGGAUAUGGCUCAUAAAUAUAACCAACUUUGUCCAGAUCAUGCACAUUUUCCCUCAAAGGUUUCUCCCAUCCUAGAUUAACCCCUAUUCUCUUCACUGACCUAGGAUAAUUAGGUUCUGCAAUAACUAUUUCAACUUCAACUUCAUCUCCGCCUUGCAAAUUGAGCUUAUCGUUGGAUAAUUGUCCCUGCCAAAGGCCCUUUGGAAGAAUGGUCUCUAUAUCCACAUCAAAAAAUUCUAAGCUUAUGCAGGCCCGCAACUCAGUACGCUUAGUAUUAUUUAUAACGGUAAUGGCAAGAGGAAAAUAGUCAUUAUCGAUAUCGUAUUCGUCGUAAAUGCAAUACAAAGUCAGCCCUUCAAAAUUACGAUCAUCACUCAGGGGGAAUAGCAAAAUUGACUUUACUGCCAUCGUUGCUAGAUUGAAACCAAUCAGGAACCUAAUUCCCAUGGAGGACAAUGCCACCAAAUCCCCAAGAAGUCCUUCCCUAUAUAUACAAUGCAAGUGUCAUAUAUAUAAUUAUAUAUAUUAUAUACAUGUACAUGUGCGUUUGUAUAUAUAUUAUAACACUGAUAUUAUUCCCAACUUGGUAAUUACCACCUGCACAAUCCGUCAGAUGUGAGGUUUUAUCACAAAAGAUCUCUGUAAUAGUUGGAGUAGGAUUAGAAUAUUUAAACUCUUAUUUUCUCAUUAAUACGAUCGAUGUGGAACAUUUUAACAAUACUCACUCGUCUAACAAUUGUCUACUAAAAUGUUUAAAAUCUUGAAAAGCAGGUGAAUGAUUACCUAUUGUCAGUGAUUUGAAGAUGGUGGCCAGACAAAUCUGCAGCUUUUGUAAGAGCCUCUCUCCACUGCUUUACCCUUUCUUUCUUGGACAAGGAUUUUCUGCUCUCUAAUUUUUCAUGUCCUUCUAUGCCUUAUUGUUUGUAUAGUCACGGUUAAACCACGUCAACAUUUUAUAUUAUUAUUUAUUUUUAUCUUGUUAUCUUUAUAAAAAAAUAAUAUAAAAUAUUAACAUAACUUAAUGAUGACCACACAAAACAGAAGAACAUGAAAAAUUAGAGUGCAGACAAUCCUUGUCUUUCUUUCUUGGAUUCAUGUUUCUUGUCAUCUUUUUCUUCAUCAAUGCCCUCUUCGUGCUUUUUAAAUACUUCGGCUAAAUCUCCAUUCUGCUUCUUGACAUGCGAAGGAUCAACGUGAUAGAAUAUUGGAAAAACAUGUCGCCCCCGUUUGGCUCUGCACUCCAUGAUCUUCACCAGCUCGUCAAGACACCAACUUGAAUCCGCAUACCUCUUUGAGAAGACAAUGAUAGAGACCCUCGACUCUUCGAUUGCCCGGAACAGUUCCUCUUUUAUUUCUUCCCCUCUUUUUAGAUCAUCCUCGUCCAUAUAAGCCUUGUAUCCCUUGUAUUUGAAUGCCGCGUGGAGGUGGCCUGUAAAGCCCUUGCGAGUGUCUUCGCCUCUGAAGCUGAAGAACAUGUCGUGAUUCCAAAGUUUUGACUUGGAGGAGGAUGAAGAGGAGGCUUCAAGGGCUGUCAUGGCGGUAUCCACUGUUUGGCACUGCAAUGCUUCAGAUCACGACUGAAAAAAUGGCAGCGGUUAUGUUUGUGUUACCAAACCGAUGAUACUUAAUUACAGAAGCCAAGUCAACCUUUCUUCAUUCAACAAAAACAAAAGUUUAUAAUAUAAUAAUGUUGGCGUAGGGACUUGAGAAAUGAUAUAUUGCCGGCCGGGAGGGUGCAGAGAGGGAGAGAGAGAGAGAGAGAGAAAGAGAGGAAAAGAGGAAAGAAACGAACAUGAAAACACAAAAACCAUCCAAAAGAUUCUUGGUUGUAAUUACUACUAUUCAACUAUCAACAAUGCCUAUUAUUUUUAGGUUAAAAUUGGGAAAGUAUUUGCGAAUAAGCAUGGCAACAACUACAUAACAAAAAAAAAGUGGGUCGAGAAAAGAUCCAAACGUGAAAGGAUAAUCAAGCAUAAGUUUCAUGACCUUUUUUAUUCUUAUUCCUUUGUUAUAAGGUCCCACAUCUUUGACACUAAAAGGAAGAUGAUGUCUUGCCUUGUUAGCUUGAUCUUCAAGUCGCUCAGUAGUAGUCCAGGGUUAUAGUAAUGACCACUCCUUAACAAAAAGAGAAAGGAAUUUUGGAUUUAUUGUUGCUUAUAUUAUUGCAUUAAUUGAUGAUUUAUUUUUGAUAUUCUUGCGGAGUAGUUUAAUUGGUUUUGCAAGAUGUGUUUUUUUCAGAGAGAAAGAUUCAAGUGCAAGAUAUUCGGGUUGGGAUUUGUAUUAGGUUAAAGGUUUAUCAAGGUAAACCAAAGGGGGGGAUUAAAUUUUAGGUUUAUUACUGUUACCUUACUUGACUAGAAUACAUCAAAUGAAGUACUUGCCAACUUUCUUGCAUUUGCGAUGUUCCUACAGCUAUUCAUGAAGAUAAUGACGCUUAUAUUGAUCAAACAAACAAAAUGAGACAAAACCAAGCAUAUUGCAUUGUCCUCACAUUAGCAACAAGAGCAUCAAAGAUAGCGCUGGGUGCGGUUUGGAUUGGUUCAGUUUUGGGUCCAAGACAAGAUGACAUUAAAAGUUUUAAAUCAUUCGUUUGGAAAAGAGAAAAGAGUUUUAAAAUUGCAAUGAGGCAAAUGAGGCAUACAAUACAUCCGACAGUGUCUUUUCAUAUGACGGACUUGGUCUGGCUGCAAUUUGCAAUGACUUUCUUGGCCGUGAGUAGUAACAGCUAGCUAUUCAACUCUUACGCAAUAUAUAUGUAAAUUGGGUCCGUAAUUUUAAGCAUAUGCCAUAUAGUAAUAAACCACAAAUUAAAAAAAUUAUUAACAAAGUAAAAAAAGGGAUAUAUGAUGAGGAGCAUGUCUAUGAGGCUUCACUGAUUGAUGAGAUGGGGACUCUUCAGCCACUUCGCUACCAUUGGCUACCAUUUAAGAGAGAGAAAAAAAAACUACCAUUAGCGUAAGCUGAACAAAAAUCAUCAAAUUAUUUUGGCUAUAUCUUUCCUUGAUCGAUUUUUAAAUAAAAAUAAUAUACGAAAUGGUUACAUAAACGAAUACUAAAAACUGGGUAGUCGCGAAGUAUAUACCUUCUUGAUGCCUUUUUGAGGUCGCUGGGAACGUGGAGUGAAAGAGAAAGGAAAAAAGAAAAUGAAUGAACACGAAAGAACAAAGACUAUUGGCUAAAUGGUCAUUGAGAUUUGUAUAACUCAUCAUUUUGGUCCCUAAGAUUCUAAAUCGAUAAAAGUGGUCCCUGAAUUUGUCCACCAUCCAUCAUUUUGGUUCUUCCGUUAAAAACUUUUUAAGUGUCCCGGAGUUUUUGGCCGGAAGUUUGAGCAAUUUUCAAAGUUUCGUAACUCAAUCGUUUCUUAACCAAAUUCGACCCAUAAUAUAUCAAAAUGAAGAUAGGAAAGUGUAGAAUAAGAUUAUACCUAUUUGGAAGCCCAAUGGUUGCCGGAGAUUGCCGGAAAAUAGCCUCAAAAUUGACUGGUCCGAGGGAAAACAUGAAAACUCGCUAGAAACUGGGUACACUUUAAACAUUCAUAACUUCUUCACUACUCAACGAAAUCAAGUGAUUCAAAAACAAAAAUCAUAGUUCUCGAUGAGAUGAAGAGAAUGUUACCUUUUUUUUACGGCUAACUAGCCUUGGUUUGGCAGGAAAACGGCCCGAAAGUGGCUGUCUUGGUCUUGAGUUAGCCACUUUCGAGCCGUUUUCCGGCCCAAAUACGGCAAUCUAGCUAUAAAAAAAGGUAUCAUUCUCUUCUUCUCGUUGAGAAAUAUGAUUUUUGUUCUUGAAUCACUUGAUUUCGUUGAGUAUUGAAGAAGUUAUGAACGUUUAAAGUUUACCCAGUUUCCGGUGAGUUUUCUAAUUUUUGCUCGGACCAGUCAACUUUGAGGCUAUUUUUCGGCCAUCUCCAGCAACCAUUGGGCUUCGAAAUAGGUAUAAUCUUAUUCUACACUUUCCUAUCUUCAUUUUGAUAUAUUAUGGGUUGAAUUUGGUUAAGAAACGAUUGAGUUACGAAGCUUUGAAAAUUGCCCAAACUUCCGGCCAAGAGCUUCGGGACAUUUAACGGAGUUUUUAACGGAAUGACCAAAAUGAUGGAUGGUGGACAAUCUCAGGGACCACUUUUAUUGAUUUGGAAUCUCAGGGACCCAAGUGAUGAGUUAUGCAAAUCUCAGGGACCAUUUUGGCUAUUUAGCCAAGACUAUUAAAUAGAUUAUAACAAUGACUUUUUGGCAUGAUUACAGCUAUCAACUAUAAGUAAUGCAAUUUAUUUAGGUUGAACAACCACAUAAUAAACAAAAAUGAUUAGAAAAAUAGACCCAAAUGUUAAAGGAUAAUUAAAAAUAAUUAUUCAAGAUGGUUGGUAAAUGAUUCAGCCAUUUAUAAUAUUCAAACUUAGAACAACAAUCUAUUGGAUCAUUAUAUAAAUUAUUAAGUGAUGCUCUAAUAUAAUACACCUAAAUAGGGAUGGACCACAUAAUACACCCAAAUGGACCAGUGUUAGGCUCCACUGCUAAAAACUUGCAAAAUCAUUGUAUUAACUAUUAAGGAUUAAACUUGUAUUAUACAUAUAGACAAUGUUUUACAAGCACAAGGGAGCUAACAGUGUCUAUUGAUAUGACUUGCACUUGGGAGUACUCGCUGCAACUUGCAUGCAAUGACUUUCUUGGCGUAAUGGGGGAAAGAGGAAAGAAACUAGCACGAAACUGCAUGCGCUAGCUACCGAUUCAUUUAUAAUAUUAUAUUAUAUAAUGAUAAUGUUAGGAAGAUUAAAAUAAAUUAAAUUUGUAAAUUAAAUGAUGUUUAUUAAUAAGAAAUAAGUACGUUAAUCAACACGUAAAUAAUAAUCUAAUCAUCAACAAUCAUAUCAUUUAGUUUAUAAAAUGGGAUAUUUUGGAUGCGGUCUCUAAUCUUUAACAUUCUUUGAUGAAAACCUUAAUAGUAUUCAAAGUUUAAUCAAAGUCCCUUGACUUUGUACACCUCAUUAUAUUACAAUUAAUAUUUAUAUUUUUAUAGUUUUGACAUUAAUUGUUUGAUAUUUUAUGAGAUUUAUAAUCCUAUAAAUUUAAAAUCCCUCAUUAUAAUACUAUUAGAAACGGUUACAAUAAAAAAAUUCAAAUAUUUUGAUUGAAUAAAUGAAUAAAAACUAUGUAAAAAUAAUAAAUAAUAAAUGGCAAAAGAAUGUAUCCAUAGUGUUAAAAAAAGUGGUACAUUAAUAAAGAAGAAUGGGUAUAUUAGAAAUAAAUUAGGGUACAGAUAAAAGAUUAAAAAUUAUGAAUACAAAUGAAUUUUUUAAAAUAUAGGCGCUAAAAGAAAUUAAUACAUGGGUACAAAAUAAAUCUAAAAAGAAAAUACUACAAAUUUUAAAAAAAAAUGUUGCAAAUUAAAAGUGGGUUCAAACUAAAAAUAUAAAUAUAUGAUACAAAGUUUAGGCAUAAAACAUAAAUAUACCAUAUGUAAUUGUUCUAUUAUUGAUUAAAUAUACAAUGUCACGUAACGGUAUACACAUGGGUACAAACAUAAAUAAAACUUUAAAAAAUAUGGGCACAAAAAGAAACUAAUAUAUCGGUACAAAUUAAAAAUGAAAAGAAAAUUGGUACAAAUUAAAAAAUAUUUGCAAAUUAAAAAUAGCUACAAACUAAAAAUAAAAAUAUAUGAUAAAAAAUUUAGCCAUAAAUAUAAAUAUACUAAUUGUAACAUUUUUAACAUUAAAGGAAUAUAUUUAAAAAUAAAAAUAUUUUAUUAUUCAAAUAAUUAAUGAUGUUAUUAAUACCGAAGGACCUUGAUCAAAAAUUGAAAAUGAAUAGGAUUUUAAUCAAUGGAGUAACAAAAAUAAAGAUGUGAACCUAAUUUUCCCUUAUAAAAUUUAAUUUAGAAAUUUUGUGCUUCGGCAAGUUUGUAAGAAAUCUUCACGUCUAAAAUACGAUAUGAUUAUAAAUGUAAGUACUGACGACCUCAAAUCUUAUUGGAGCUAAUUAGCUAAUGUAAGAAACAAUCUUAUUUGGAUUCCUUAGCAAGUGGUUAACUAUUUGUUUCUAGUUUAGAAGUGUAGCAGUAAUUAAUUAGUUGAGAUUAAUAUCUUAAUAUUUUUUUUUCCAUCAAUUGUAAUCUAUAUUCUUGUAACACUCAUCAUUUGUUAAUAAUUUGUGCUUCGGCAAGUUUUGUUGCAGGAUCGAUCGAGGGGAGAGGCUUCUUUCAGAUACUCUGUAUGCAAUAUUGGAGAGAUAUAGAAUGUUCAAAGAAACUGAUUUCAAAUGAAGCUAGUGAAUGACAUAGUUGUUUUAGAUGGACGAGCAAAUGCAGCAGAUAGCCAACCCUUUAAAAUUAUGACCAUCAUUUUUAGGCAUAACAAAGUCGCCUACAUAUUUUUUCAUAAGCAAACUCAAACCGUUUGGGGUUAUCAUAAAUCCCGUUGAGAUAAAUGCCACAAUAUCUGCUUGAAGUCCAUCCCUGUACAUGUUGAAAUGUACAAGAAACUCACAUCAAAUUUGUCAAAAUUAAAGAUGACUUGUAUAUUGUGUGGUUUUCACUUCUAAUUAUACCAAGGUAUUUUGUGAUAAACUUUCACAUAUAAUGUUUUAUGCAUGUUGUAAAAUUCAAGUUGAGAGGAAGUAUUGAUGUUGUUAAUGAUGGUCGUUGAUUACGAAUCUCGACAUUAUUUGCAUUUGUUAUGUGAGUGUGUCGUAAGAUGUAUGAGAAGCAAGUCUAUGAGGCUCCACUGAUUGAUGAGAUAGGGACUAUUCAACUAACAAAAAUUUUGUUCAAAAAUAAAAACUAAUACACUGCAAUCACUACCAUUUAUACAAAAACUCCUCUCUCUCUCUCUCUCUCUCUCUCUCUCUCUCUCUCUCUCGAAGAGGCGGCCUUUAUUUAAGAGAGAAAAAAAAAAUUAAAUAUUACUGUAAAUGAACAAAAAUCAACAACUUAUUUUAGUUAUAUGUUUCCUUGAUCGAUUUUUAAAUAAGAAUGAAAAACGAAAUGGUAACAAAAACGAAUACUAAAAAAUCAAUAGUCGCGAAGUAUAUACCUACUUGAUGCCUUCUAGAUGUCGGCUGGGAAGGUGGAAUGAAAGAGAGAGGAAAAGAGGAAAGAAACAAACAAGAAAGGAAAAAGACUAUCCAAUUAUAACAAUGACUUCUUGGCGGUGAUUACAGCUAUUCAAUGCAUUAUUUUAGGUUGGAAUUUGGAAGCAUUUAAGAAGUGGCAUGACAACAACCACAUAAUAAACAAAUGUGAUUAGAGAAAAGACCAGGGCCAACCCAGCCUUAGUGUGGGCUGGGUGACCGUCCAGGUCCAAAAAUUAUCACGGGGGUAAUUUCAUAAAUGCUUUCAUAAGAGUAUAAAUUUAUACAAUUUUUUUUUGAAUGACCAAACAAUUUACCUAGAAUAGUGGUUUUUGUUGUAAAAAUUAACAAGAGGUUCUGAGUUCAAAACAUUGCGUGUUUAUUUACUUUUCAAUUUUUAUGAAUUUCUUUUAAUAAGAGUAUAAAUUUAUAAAAUUUGACAAAAUGAUCAAGAAAUUUAACCAAAAGUGAUGGUUUAUGUUGUUUGAAAAUAACAAGGAGGUACCAGUUCAAAACUCUAUGUGUUUUUUUUACUUUCUAGUUUUUACAAAUUUCUUUUCAAAACGCAAUCAUUUACGAGAUUCGGACUAAAAUUACGAACUACUAAAUCACUCUAUUAAUAUUAAGUGGUGCUUUAUAUAAUUAUUCGGAAUUUAAAGGAGGCAUAUGGGGUUGGAACAUCAAUUUAAAUCUCUCAAAAAAAUAAAAAUCCUAGACAGACAAGAAAAUCAAAAUACAGAAUGCGAUUGCAAAACAAUGCUCGUCUGAUGAAAGAGAAAAAUAGUAGUAGUAAUAUUCCCUAUAUACGCUGCAAUAGGCUUGCCUUUCUCAGCAGUAAGUUCCCAAGGAGCAAUCGGCCCGUGGAUAAUCAUGUCAGCAUCCAGAAUCACAACCCUAUUAAGAACAAAAAAUGCACAAAUAAUCCAAAUUUAGGAGAUGUGGUUGUUUAAUUGUACCUAAGGUGUAGUAGUUAUUGUUGGUGUUUACCCUUCAAGGGAGUCGAAGAUCUUGAAUUAAAGAGGAAUGCGGAAACUAGGAUUAAUAUUCAAUUUCUAUGUAUACUGGACAAUUUAAAGAUUGAGAUUUUUUUUCACUUCUACAGUUCUACACACUUUCUAGACCUAAAUAUUUCCGAGAAACAAACGAAAAGUGAAAAAAAUCGUACCCGGUCCUAGAGAGCAUACGUGAGAGGUUUUAAUCCAAACAUAAAAAAAAAACAAUUGACAACUAAAUCAGAAUUUUGACAACCAAUCAUCAAAAAAUUCAAAAUUUCUAAAACCUUUCGAUCAACUUUGGACUUACAUUGCAGUCUGUAGCUUUUCCAACCACAACGAAGGUAAUCGAGAAGGAAGCGAGAGCAUGGAGCAGCUCCCAUGGGAGCUCCUUGACAAAUGGUCUCCUAAAUACUGAAAAAUUAACCAUUUUUCAAAGUAAAUGCAGGGUUCAUAAAACUCAUGUGAAACUUAUUAAGAUUAAAAAACUUAGGCGAAUCAGUUUGUUCACAUACCUCACAUCCUGAGCCAAGAGAGCCAGAGGCUGCUGCUGCUGUUUUCGACAAAAUUGGGGCAAUGGUGGAGGAAGAUAGGAGGAGGGUUCUGGCAGAGCAAAUUGAUGAAAAAAAAAUAGAAGGGAAAAUGUAACACGACUUAGUAAUUUUAUAUGUUACGAAAGUAGUGAUAAAGUCCUGAUAAAAUAUCUACAUCUUUAUAUCUUUCCACUUUGAUAGCUAAAUUAAUAUUCUUAACCGAACCAAGUUCUUGAAUUAAAGAAUCUGGGGCUCUCUAUAGCACUGGAAAGAAUAUAACAUAUGAUUAAACAUACACAACCCAAAAGAUCCAUCCAGGCUAACCCCAUUGAAUUAAAACAAAUUCAACCAGGAAACAAAAAAAUUAAGAACAACCCAAAAACCAAAAGAACCCUAUUGUAGUUUUAGCUCACUAACCCAUCGAAUGAAAACAAAUUCAAUCAAAGAACAUAAAAUUAAUAACCCAGAAAUUUAAUCAAAUAAUUCUGCAAAAAAAGACACCAUUGGGUAUCGAAACUCAUGAAGAGCUCGGAAAUAAUCAAACCAACAUCCAAUUUAGUACACACCUAAGAAAAAUAUAAGCAAGAAACCAUUCCCAACUCUCCAAUCAUUCAUCAAACACAAUAAUACAAUCAUAUAAAACUCUCAUUCAUUUAUCCAAAUUGAAUUAAUUCAAUCUUCAGUGGAAGAUCUCAGUUAUUAUUAGAUAAUCUACCACUGAAUCAGAAGAGUUGAACAGAAAAAGGUAAACCAAACCAAAUUAUCCAUUUCAAAAGGCUGAAGCAGUGAUGUAAAUUAUCAAGGGGGGAACAUAUAGGGAAAAGAUAAGAAAAAAUGGCUUACCAAUUGUGGCUAUUGCCACCCCAAACAAAGACAACAGCAACAGACCUGAAAAAUUGAAUGCUGAAUUAAAAGAAACAUAUAUUGGAGAGUCAAAUUGAUAAAAAAUCCAACAUAACCAAAAUUUACAUUAACAGAUAAACAUACACCAGAGUAAAGAAAAAGAGAACCAAUGUGUUUCUGGUAAGGACCCAGCAAACCACCUAACACUUCAUACCACUUCUCAAAAAAAUUCCACAGAACAGAAUCAAAUCAAAAAAAAAAUUUGGUCUGAACUGAAAAUUAAGUAAAAAAAUUAAAACUCUUUUCUGAUUUGAACAAUAAAAUGCCAACCAAAAAUAAAAUAUAUACAAAGAAAAUAUAUAAACACAUUAAAAACUGAAAAACAUUCUUGCAUUCUGAACUAAGCAACAAACACUUGCUUUCAGUUUUAUAUAUUUAAACUCAUGACUGAUGAUAAAAUUACCAAAAUUUAGAAACAAUGUCAAUGAUAAGGACAAUGACUAAAAUUUCAUAUGACUAAAAUUUAGAAAAUGCAGAAAUUUGGCUCUGAACGAUUAAAAUAUAGAACAACAAAAACAAAACAAAAAAAAACAAACAUAAAUACUUACCGGUAAUAAAUCCCACCCACCACAGAAGCUCUAAGAGAUAAGAAUACCCUUCAUAACCUAUUACAAUCAAGAAUCAAUGAAAACAUUUCAGAAAAUCAAAAUCGUAAAAGCAAAAACUGAAAUUUUGAGGAAAAUUUGAAAUAAAUAAAUAAUCAUCAACUCUGACUCCAGAAGUAGCUGUAGGUACCUCAAAAGUGAGAGACAAAGCGAAGA
rnacentral:lncRNA from 1 species